ACACACUCUGAUGGUUCCCACUUGAAAUUGCUCAUCAAGUGCAAAUAGCUCCCAGCCUGGAUGGCUGAGCUGCUCUCCAGCCUCCUCUCUCUGGAGUAAGAAGAUUUCAGCUUGUGACCUGCCCUCGGGACUUGUGGGUGUACAAAGCCUGUGACCCAGGAAACAAAGUCAACGGCUCACUUUGUCCCCACCCCACCCUACCCCGUCUCCCUCCUACUAAAUGCUGAAUCUCACGAGAGAAGAAAACCAGCCACAUAAAGGAUUUGAAAGCUCAACUUGCUUUCCCACUCUGUUAUCCCUGGAGUUGGCUUGGAUUCACCCUGAAGCCUUCCCCCUCCCGGGGAAAGUUGCUUCACGUUGCAGCUCAGCAGGUUUGUCCAGCUACAUAGGCUCCAGAAAACAAGAAGCAAGACUGGAAAGCUGGGGAUGAUUGUACGCCCUCGCCUGAAUCUUACGUGGUUCCUCCUUCUUCCACCUGGCCAGUGCAGAGCCGUGGGUGCCACGUGGCCACUUCUGGAUUGGGUUCCCCUUGGCCUGCCACCCUGUCCUUCUGCUUUCCCACUUUGCCAGCCAGAGUCAAUUUGAGGACGCCAAGUUCUCCUCUCCAUACAGAGCUCCUGGUCUCCUUGUAACUUGUAACUCCUGGGCACAGUUACAAGUGCUGAAUUCUUGCGAGGAUGAACUCAAGAUACAAAAUAUGCUUGGCAACUCACCCCUGAGUGGCCACAGGCACACGCAGGAGUCGAACCCACCCACCUCUGCUGACAGUCAUGGGUCAAGCUCAAAGUCCUGGCUGCUUCUCUGCUCAAGGUGGUGUCUCACUAUGUUGCCCAGGUUGGAUUCGAACUCCUGUGCUCAAAUGAUCUUCCCCUACCUCCAGGGUAAGUGCUGGGGCCUCUGCCCUCCCAGACAACCUGAUGAUACCUCUGUCUCUUAGCAGCUCUGACCCUGCAUGCAGUUUUCCCUUAUGGUUUUGCUGGAGAAGGGCUUUUGCUAAGCCUCACUGGGAUGUGGUGAGGGCUAAUUAGAUAAUGCCUGUGAAGCCCUUGGAGCUCCUUGGAGAUGGGCUCUCUCUCUAUGUAUUAUUAAUAGUGGUAGAACACAGUGUUUCCAAACUGAGGACCGUGUGGGGAAGGAAGGGCAGUAAAGGGCUGCAGAGGAGACGGUGCCAAAGGAGCCCGUUUUUGGAGAAGGCUGUCAGCCUUCAGCCUUGUCAUGUGAUCUGGGGGGCUGGGGUAAAGGACAGGGACCGCCAUUAAGAAGUAGAAACGUGGGUGUCCCCUCCACAGACAGUACGUGCAUGAACAACAUGAGUGGGCAAAGGACGGUUCCUGUUAAACCUGUCUGUGGCCCUGAUGUGGGAGCCGAGGAGAGACAUCAGUUAGGCUGAGUCCCAGCUGGACUGUGCCCUCCCAGGCUUUUUCCAAUCUGGGAACUGUGCUGGCUUUUAGGACCACUUCCUGGCCUGGCCAGCAUUACCCCCAAGAGAGCUCUCUGCUAACUAGCCAGCUUUUGUUUUCUAAGGGAGGAGGGCAAAUGACCACCCUGACUAACCCUCUCCGCCUGUGUGAAGGUUGUUUGGGAAGUGCCUCAUGCAAAUUUCAGUAUCAAAUGGCCAAGUCAUUAGAGGACUAAUUUGGGGGUGUCUAAUCCUGUGGGAACAGUUGGGUCUCUCCUCCCACUGUUUCCUGUCACUGGAGGAUGUAGCUGGUAGACCUGGCACCUCUGUCCCUGUUGACUGCCCUGUAUCUUCUUGGGUGGGUGGGUGGCUGUCCCUCAAAAGAUAUGUUGAAGUCUGUUAUGAACCAAAUGUUUGCGUCCCCCCAAAAUUCCCACAUUGAAGCCUUAACCCCCAGCGUGUUGUAAUUUGGAGGUGGGGCCUUUGGGAGAUAAUUAGGCUUAGAUGAGGUCAUAAGGGUGCGGCCCUCAUGCCGGGAGCAGUGCCCUUGUUUUUGUUUUGUUUUGAGAUGGAGUUUCACUCUGUCACCCAGGCUGGAGUGCAGUGGUGCGAUCUUGGCUCAUUGUAACCUUCUCCUCCCGGGUCCAAGCGAUUCUCCUGCCUCAGCCUCCCGAGUAGCUGGGAUUACAGGCGCCCGCCACCACACCCAGCUAAUUUUUGCACUUUUAGUAGAGAUGGGAUUUCCCCAUGUUGGCCAGGCUGGUCUUGAACUCCUGACCUCGAGUAAUCCUUCCACCUCAGCCUCCCAAAGUGCUGGGAUUACAGGCGUGAGCCACUGAGCCUGGCCAGAGCAGUGCUCUUGUAAGAAGAGACGUCUGAGCAUUCUUUCUCAUGCUCUCUUGCUCUCUCUGAAAUUGACCCUGCUGACACCUUGAUCUUAGGCUUCCCAGCCUCCAGAACUGUGAGAAAACAAACUUCUGUUGUUUAAACCACCUGGCCUAUGGUAUUUUGUUAUGGCAGCCUGAGCAGACUAAGACAUAGUCUUGACCCCCAGUAACUCAGAAUGUGACCUUAUUUGGAAAUAGGGUUGUUGCAGUAGUAAUCAGGUAAGAUGAAGUCAUACUAAUGUGGAUGGGUCCCCUAGUCCAAAGCAUCUGGUGUCCUUAUAAGAAGAGACAUGGGAAGGGAUGGGCACAGAGGGAAGACAAUGUGAAAACACACAAGGAGAAGGCCGUGUGACAACAGAGACAGAGCUGGGAGCCACGUGUCACAAGCCAGGCACGGUGAAGGAUGGCCAGCAACACCAGGGGGCAAGGGAAAGGCAUGGAGCAGGGGUCCCCAAGCCCUGGUCCAUGGCCUAUUAGGAACUGGGCCACACAGCAGGAGGUGAGCGGCGGGCGGUGGAGCGAAGCUUCAUCUGUAUUUACAGCUGCUCCCCAUGGCCCAUGUUACCGCCUGAGCUCUACCUCCUGUCAGAUCAGUGGCAGCACUGGGUACUCUAUGAGUGUGAACCCUAUUGUGAACGGUGCAUGUGAGGGAUCUAGGUUGCGUGUUCCUUAUGAGAAUCUAAUGCCUGAUGACCUGUCACUGUCUCUCACCCCCACCAGAUGGGACCAUCUAGUUGCAGGAAAACAAGCUCAGGGCUCCCACUGAUUCUACAUUAUGAUGAGUCAUAUAAUUAUUUCAUUAUAUAUUAUAUUACAACGUAAUAAUAAUAGAAAUAACGUGCACAAUAAAUGUAAUGUGCUUCAAUCCUCCUGAAACGACCCCCACCCUCCAUCUGUGGAAAAAUUAUCUCCCACAAAACUGGUCGCUGGUGCCAAAAAGGUUGGGGACCGCCGGCUUAGAGCCUUCAGAACGCGAGGAGCCCUGCCGACACCUUGAUUUCCGACUUCUUAUUUUCAGAACUGUGAUAGAAUGAUUUCCUAUAGCUUUAAAGCACCCAGUUUUGGUACUUUGUUACAGCAGCCCUAGGAAGCUGGCACUCCAGGGUCUGAGGUUUUUCCAUUGCCCUUUCGAUCAGCCCGCAAACACCUCCAUUGAUGUAGAAAGCCAGCCAAGCCGUGUAGGCCUCAGCUCUCUUUGUUUCCCUGUUUCGGGAAGUCUGUGCACUUGGGCUCCCAGGUUCUCCCAUUGAAGCCAGGCCUUCUGCUGCCAAGUUCUCAGACAAAAAUGUUCAAAGGCACAAAAGAGCUUAGAAACCCGGCGGCUCCAGAGCUGUAGGAAAGCACAGCCGUCUUCCUGUUUCGGGAAAGGAUAAGUGUUUCUGAAUAUCAAAAAUCACAAGUCGUUAUUUUCCCUCGUAUAUCAUCACGUGACAUUUUAUUAUGGGACACCCAAACUCAUCACAGGUUAGUCCCAUAAAUUAGCAUGGGGACACGGGCAGGUUUGGUACGAAUUAGUGAAAAUCCCAACACACUGGAUGACCUGGCAGGCUCCGGCAUGGAAACAUCUUUGCUGUGCCUGUCAGCCACCCUCAGGCCUUGAAGGGUGGACAUUAGAAAGCCACUACUGUCCCCCUGCCCCCGUCCCCCAAUAAUUCCAAAUCACAGGGCCUAAAAUAGGUAUCUUUUAGGCACAUAAACCUCAGCUUCUGUUUGUCAUGUGUAUGAACAAACCCAAUAAAAUAUAUCAUGUUACCAAAGCCAGUUGUACCAUGUUAUUUAAACUAGUAAUUAAGAGUCUUAAAGCUGGCUUUUCUACAGUCACUGAACCAUCAGCAUCCCCUGGCUGGUUCUAGGCAGAGAAAGCACAGUGGGGAAAUUUGGACCACAGAUACCUGGCAUUUAUCUUAGGUUAGAUCAUCUUUCAGAAUAAGCAGAAACCUUCAGCAACCUCAAGUCUAGACUCAGCCUCUAGAAGGCCUGCUCAAAAUAGCGCCUGAGGCUUUGCCUGUGGGGAAUGCCCUCCCCAACUGGCAUCUUCCCAUUGCUGGGAGGGGUUGGUACCAUUAACCCAGGAAAUAAAGCUUUCUUUGUCAGCGAGCUGCCCAGUUGACUCAGACCAACCAAGGGUUUCUGCUUCCCCGUGUAUUUACAUUGAAAAAAGAUACAGAGGCUGGGUGUGGUGGCUCAUGCCUGUAAUCCUAGCACUUUGGGAGGCCGAGGUGGGCAAAUCACCUGAGGUCAAGAGUUCGAGACCAGCGGGGCCAACAUGGUGAAACCCCGCCUCCACUAAAAACAUAGAAAUUAGCCAGGCAUGGUGGUGCGUGCCUGUUAUCACAGCUACUCUGGAGGCUGAGGCAGGAGAAUUGCUGGAACCCAGGAGGCAGAGGCUGCAGUGAGCUGAGAUCAUGCCACUGCACUCUAGCCUAGGCAACAGAGUGAGACUCCAUCUCAAAAAAAAGAAAAGAGAUAGAAACUUGUGUGUAAGUAACUAAUGUUUCAAUUUGGGUUACUUCUGAAAGCAAAAUGGUGCUAAAGAUAUGGCUUCUGGCUAUUAAAAAUGUUCUCAGGGGCUGGGCACGGUGGCUCAUGCCUAUAAUCCUCUUAGCACUUUGGGAGGCCAAACCAAACCAGGAGAAUUACCCAGUUGGCUGGGGGAUGAAAAUAUGAACUUGACUUUGGGUAGCUUGCUUUGGGACAUUCUGGUUUCAUUCUGUUUUGUUUUUUUUUUUUUUUUUUUUUCCAUGCAUUAUCUCAGUUAACCCUCACAAAAAUCCUAGACUCCAGGAUUAUUUCUUAGGGUUCGUAUGAGACAGCUUAUAUGUGACCUUUCUAGGGAGACUUUCUGUCACCAGCGUGCCACCAAGAUCUGGGAAUGAGUCUUACUGGUAGAUAUUAAGACACUGUGUGUGUCAGGAAACUUGCGUGAUUCCCAUCACAAUCUCGUACUGUGGUUGGUGACUGGGUCUGCUUGUAUUUUUCCCCCAGAGACACUCAGUGCCAAGGUAUACAAUUUGUUCUCGCUACUUUCCUUCUGAUUUACCAUUUGCAGCUCUGUGGGAUUGAACACAUUAGGUUCUUUCCAGAAAGCAGGGCAUGAAAAGCUGAGAGGAAAAUGGGGGAGGCCAGGAAAUACCAAGUAGGACGGUGUGUUGAUGGGAGCAGACAGGUGGGAAAAUGUCCCAUCAGUCGAGGAAAAGGGCCCAGGAUAGGGAUACAAGACCACCUGCCCUCCAACAUCCCCAUAGUGAACAGGGCUGGCCCUGUGGCCAUAAUGUCAGUGAGUGGAGUGCACCCAGGGCCCUGUUCAACAGAAGAAGGAGCGCAGAGAGAGAUGAGCAUGUUUCUUCUGGAGCAGCAGGGUCACCCUCCCGUGGUGCGUGUGCUUUGGGACAGUUCGGCACUACUUGGUCUAUUUGAGCUGACUUUUUGCAUAUCUGCUCUAGAGUGCUCUGGCUGUCCAGGAGGGUGAGGAAAAGUAUAUGGAGGUGGAAGGACUGGGAAAGCAUGUUACUCCCAAAGGGCCACAUCUAGAAAUGCUGCCUGGGCUUUGGACAGAAAAUCUGUAUUUGCGUGUGUGCAUGUGUGUGUGUAUGAGUGUGUGUGUGUGUGUAUGAAAAAAGGAGUAGCUCUUCAUCAAUCAACCACUUGUCCUGAUUAGAAGGGGCAGGAGCAGGGACAACUGAAGGCUUAUUAAAUAAAAGGUCCAGUUUCCUUCAUAUAUAAAAAGAAACAUCAUGCUUUGUAAAGACUUCAACCCUAAUACACACAAAGUAGAUAGUAAAGUCACAGCUCGUCUCCCUCUACCCAAGGAUAGCCACUAAACUUACUUUGAAGUGGGGAGUGAGUACUUUGCCUCUUACAUUCUGUGAUUUCAGGUAACUUAGGAGUCCUCUGAAUGUAAUAAAAACAAACGCCCAUGCAAUGGAAUUAAAUUUGGUGUAGUGGAAAGGGUGCUGGACUGAGUAAGAUCUCAGUGCUUAACUAGAUUCUGCUACUAACAUGCUGUGUCACACGGUCUUUCAUUUAGGACUCCAGCCUGGGCCUAUCAGGAUGGGGUGAAAUUGCCAUGUGGGAGCCCGGUGACUGGGAGAUCCACCCUGGCCCAUCCCUGCUCCACCUUCAAGGUGUCUGCUUCCAGCCCUGUCUAACUAGCCUUUUGUUCCGGCUUUGACAUUUUUCUGCCUCUCGGAUCUUGGUCCUUGUGUCAUCAGCCUUCCUGACUCAAUGACCUGACUUUUGCCCUGGCCUUCUCUCUGGUUUGAUGCAUUUAGACUAAUCCACAGACCAUUCAGAGGAAGUCUAUGUUAACUUGGGCAAAUAAUCUAUAACAUGAGUGGUUAGAUAAUCAUAGUGCCCAUUGAUUAAGCAUUGAUUAAGCACUUAUAUGAUGCAGGCAUUAUGCUAAGCACUUCAUAUCAAAUUUAUUCCUCCCAACAUACCUAAGAGAUAGGAUUUAAAGAGCCUAACAGUGAGGUUGUUUUUGGCUGCAAGUAAUGGAAAACCCAACUCAAACUGGCUUAAAUGAGAAGGACGUUUAUUGGCUCACAUAGCUCACAGGAAAUCCAAAGGCAGAAUAGGCUUUAAAGUUGGUGGAUAGUUGGUCUAUAAGAAGGACUUCAGGCUCUUUCCAUCUUUCUGCUCUGCCAUAGGCAGUGUGGACUGCAUCCUAAGCCUAGCUCUCCUCAUGGUUGAGGAGUGGCUGUCAACAGUAGUCAAAGUUCUUUGCUUUCUUUUCCAUGGUAAGCCUAAGAGAGGGAAUUACUUCUGGAAAUUCUCUUAGAGGAACUGUCCUAGAAACUCUUGGGAAAAUCCCCCUGUAUGUGUCUUCCUGGACUGAUAUGUCUCACAUUUCAAUAGCUGAAGAGGAGGAUAAGCCUGCUUUGAUUGGUUUAGAUAAAUCAAGACUCAUUCCUGGCACUAGAGAAAUAGCUUUCUCUAGUGGCAUGGAGGAGAACGAAAUCAGGGCUUCACUAGGAGAGAGGAAGGAGGGAGAUGAAUGUUGGGUAGGCCACUGUAUUAGUCCUUUCUCACACUGCUAUAAAGAAAUACCUGAGACUGGGUAAUGUAUAAAGAAAAGAGGUUUAAUUGGCUCAUGGUGCCACAGGCUGUACAGAAAGCAUGGCUGGGGAGGCUUCAAGGAAAUUUACAUUCACAAUCAUGGCAGAAAGGGAAAGGGAAGCAGGCACAUCUUCACUGGCCAGAACAGGAGGAAGAGAGAGGCGGGAGGUGCUACACACUUUUAAACAACCAGAUCUCAUGAGAACUCACUCACUAUGGCGAGAGCAGCAAGGGGGAAAUCCAUGCCCCCAUGAUCCAGUCACCUCCCACCAGGCCUCUCCUCCAACAUCGAGGAUUACAAUUUGACAAAAGAUUUGAGUGGCGACACAGACCCAAAUCAUAUCAGCACCAACAAGACCUACGAAAAUGAAGUUAAGAUAGAACUUGGGCAAGUUAACCUUGUUCUUAACUGCUGUACCUCAUUGCCUGAUGUCUGUUCUCUCUCAAAUAUUCCACGUGUCUAAUCAAUUAGAAACAUUUCAACCAGUAUAAGAGUAUAUGUAAACUAGUAUAAGAGUAUAAAUAAAUGCUGUCUUAAUCGCUAGACACAUUCAGCUUCUCUAUAUAGCCUUUUUCAAAGGAUAUUUUGUAAGUACCAAUUAAUAUUGAAGAAGAUUUUGGUCUAAGAUAUCUGAUUGUCAGUUUACGAGUGAAGCGUUUUAGUUUCAAAGCUCCAGAUCUCUUUCUGAUUCCCUAAUAUGCAAGUAUACAAGAUUUCAUUCCAUAAUUAAAUUAAAAUAGUUUAUCCACAAUAAAAUCUGGGAAAAUCAAACAAUGUUUAUCUUCUCCUGGGUUUAUUUAUUAAGACAAACUCCUCUAAGGGAGGUGGAGCAAGAUAGCCAAAUAGAUCCCUCCAGCAAUCACCCCCACUGCCCUUGCAGGAAUACCAGAUUGCAGAACUAUCCACACAAGAAAGCACCUUCAUAAGAAUUAAAAAUCAGGCAUCCUCUCCACCCCACAGCCACUACCGCUGUGGCAUGGUCAAAACCAAAACCAAAGCCAAGGCCGGGUGUGGUGGGCCACACCUGUAAUCCCAGCACUCUUUGAGAGACCAAGGUGGGCAGAUUGCUUGAGGCCAAGAGUUCAAGACCAGCCUGGCCAACAUGGUAAAACCUCAUCUCUUCUAAAACUACAAAAAUUAGUUGGGCAUGAUGGUGCACGCCUGCAAUCCCAGCUACUUGGGAAGCCAAAGCAGGAGAAUCGCUUGAACCCAGGAGGCAGAAGUUGCAGGUUGCAGUGAGCUGAGAUCGUGCUACUGCACUCCAGCCUGGGCGACAGAGUGAGACUAUCUCAAAAAAAAAAAAAAAGAAAAAAGAAAAAAGAAAAAACAAACAAACAAACAAACAAACAAAACCAAAAAAAAAAAACCAAGUGUCAUUUUAUGAGACAGAUCUCAAUAAUGGAACUUACAGCUCAUCAGGGUAGGGACACAACUCGGCACAGUAAAAAUGAACCCCAGGCACCGUCUCCAGCAUUUCCUGAGGUUUUCAGGAGUGAGACCAACCCUAAGUAAAUUCUGACUGUCUCCAAUGCUCCAGGAAUCUAACUGAGCCCAUAACCUUUUUUUGGUAGUGUUACGGUGAAUUUUAUUUUCACUAUGCAAUUUUUGUUAUAUUCUGGUGAUUGCUAGAAUUAUGUAUUCACUGUUAUAUCAUAAUAAGACUCUUUAUGCAUGUAUGAUUUUUCACAAAUACCUUUUAUUAAUAAAAUUUCCUAAUUUUACAUGGUUAAAAGUGAAAGUGGCAGAUCUGUAGUCUCAUGAUCCUCUGCUAUGAUUUAUUGGUGAAUUGCAAAAGUUAAUGUAAUUUAAAGUUGGCUCAACAAGGGGGUAUUGUACUAUUAGAGUCCAUAUUUCCAAUGUGGCCUCAAAUAUAUAUAGUGACAUUUGAAAUGAAAUAUAUUAAACUUAACAAAAAAGAGACAAACUCCUUUAAUUCACCUUAAGUUGGGAAAAAGAAUCAGAACCAGUGUAUCAGUUAGGCAGCUUUCAGUUUUAACAACAGCUCAAAUUGAUUUACACAAUAAAUGGAACAUAAACAGGCACGGUGGCUCAAGCCUGUAAUUCCAACACUUUGGGAGGCCAAAGCAGGCGCAUCACCUGAGGCCAGGAGUUCAAGACCAACCUGGCCAACAUGGUGAAACCCCAUCUCUACUAAAAAUACAAAAAUUAGCCAGGCGUGGUGGUGUAUGCCUGUAGUCCCAGCUACUGGGGCAGCUGAGGUGGGAGAACUGCUUGAACCCAGGAGGUGGAGGCUGCAGUGAGCCGACAUCGCUGCAUUCCAGCCUGGGCGACUGAGCAAGAAUCUGUUGCUAAAUAAAGAAAUGAAUGAGCUGGGCGCAGUGGCUCAUGCCUAUAAUCCCAGCACUUUGGGAGGCCAAGGCUGGUGGAUCAUGAGGUCAGGAGAUCGAGACCAUCCUGGCUAACACAGUGAAUCCCCAUCUCUAUUAAAAAUACAGAAAAAUGGGGCCGGGCACGGUGGCUCAUGCCUGUAAUCCCAGCACUUUGGGGGGCCGAGACGGGCGGAUCACGAGGUCAGGAGAUCAAGACCAUCCUGGCUAACACGGUGAAACCCCGUCUCUACUAAAAAUACAAAAAAAUUAUCUGGGCACGGUGUCGGGCACCUAUAGUCCCAGCUACUCGGGAGGCUGAGGCAGGAGAAUGGUGUGAACCCGGGAGGUGGAGCUUGCAGUGAGCCGAGAUCGCUCCACUGCACUCCAGCCUGGGCGACAGAGCGAGACUCUGUCUCAAAAAAAAAAAAAAUACAAAAAAAUACAAAAAAAUUAGCUGGGCAUGGUGGCGGGAGCCUGUAAUCCCAGCUACUCAGGAGGCUGAGGCAGGAGAAUCGCUUGAACCGAGGAGAAGAACUUGCAGUGAGCCGAGAUCGCGCCACUGCACUCCAGCCUGGGCAGGAGAGUGAGACUCCCUCUCUAAAGAAAGAAAUGAAUGAAUGAAUGAAUGAAUGGAUGGGUGGAAUAUAUUGGCUUGCAUCUACUGGAAAACCCAGAGCUAGGGCAGGCUUCUUGUAGCUCAGGGAUGUCUCCGAAGAUCCUGUUUCUCUCAUUCUCUCCUCUCUGCCUUUGGUGGCUCUGCUCCAUCCCCGCUCAUCUCAGGGUCACAAGAUGGCUGCCGGUAACUCCUGGACUACAUGCUCCCUGUUGAUAUGUGUUGACAAAGGAGUCACUCAAAGACUAGGAAACUUCCUUCCUGAAGUCCCCAGCAAUGUCUGCUUGUUGACCUAAUCCAGUCUCUGGCUAGGGGAAAGGAAUAGGCUGAUCGGCUUCCUCUGUAUCAUAUACCUCAGUCCUGGCGUUGACCCUCAAUGACCAACAGAGACCAGGGCCUGCAGGAAAGGGAAGGGGAAAUGACGCUGGGAACGGACCGCAUUCAAAGUUUAACUGCAGCAGCUUACAGGUUCUUGAUGGCGGAUUCCUCACAGACUUCCCAGAAACAUUGCGCAUGGCGGUUGAGAGAAAAGGGUCAGUGAGAGGGGAACGGAGAGAAAGAGAACAGAAAUCACACUGUAGGCACACGUUGUCAGGAUUUAGCAAUAAUUCUCUAACCAACCCAAAGUGUCCGUGGGUGGAAAGUUGAAAAUCAUGUCCUGACAAAGCUGGCUGAGUCAUCCCUACCCUCCAAGGCCUUCUUCCUCCUCCCUAUUUAUAGGACACUCUUCCAAGCCGCUGAGAGCUUCACCCUCUAUUUAAUUUUUCUUAUGUUUAUCUGACACUCUAGCCGUGGGCUAGUACCUCCCCACACAAUGAGGGGUGGAUCCUCCCAGAAGAACCUCCUUUAGGAGACCACCAUUGCACUUAGUUCUCAACAGUGAGGGGAUUGGCCUGGGAUGAUCUUUAAGCAGUCUCAGCCUCAUUUAUUCGACUUCAUUCAUUCGUUCGUUCAUUCACUCACUCAUUUUGCAAGUAUUUAUUGAGUGCCUAUCACGUGCCAAGCAUUAUUCUAUGCACUGGGUUGACAGAAUUAAAUAAAACUCUCAAAGUCUCCAUCAACGGGAGCUUUCAUAAUAGAGGAGAAGAUAGGAAUCAAAAAAAUAUAUUUACACUAUAAAGUUAGGAAAUGAUAAAUGCUAUGAAGAAAAAUAAAACAGGAUUAGGAGCAGAGAAUGUGGGCGAGGGGUUAUUGACUGUGUUAAGGUGGUAAGGGAGGUCCUUCCUGAGGAAGAACCAACACACACAACCUCACAGUGACAGAGAAGAAUCCCUGAAUAAUUAAUUCAUUAACUGAUUGAAUAGACCCAGAGCUGGGGACUCCCUCAGCCCUUUUCCCAGAAGAAGGCCUGUUUAGUUCAGUCCAGAUUAAGUAUAAACUCUUUGGUCUCCAAAAGAGGGAUGAAACAAGCCAUUCUACCUUAAAAUUGAAAGGGCAAAAAUGCAGAGGAGUAAGUAUAUAAAUACUAGCUUGCCUUUAAAUUCUUUGCACAUUUGCAGAGAGCUUUAUGAGUGGAGGGGUGGUCCUUAGAGUAAAUCUGCCUUUUGGCAAAUGAGCAUUUUCUCCAAAUGGGCCCAGAUGGACUAUCUUCCCCUCACUCGAGGGCUGGUUGGUGACGCCCAUGUGGAUGCAGGGGAUGAAAGCACCAAUUUGACCCAGGCAUUCUUUGACCUACAUGUUUAUGUGGGGAUUAGGAGUAGAAUGAGUUGUCACUGAAAAUAUGUGCUUUGUGUAUUUAGAAGAUAAGUAUUUUUUUUUAUUGCUAAUUAGUGUUGGGCUCACACACAUUUGUCAUGUUGCUAUGUCAGAUUCAUUUGUCCUUUCAAACCCAACUGCCUUAAUUAAUCUUUCUCCAUCCACUCUCUGUUACAGUCCGGCUAUAACUCAGACUGCUGGGCUCUACCCUAAUGGGAUUUCUACUCAGGAAACCUUGAAUUUUAAAGCUAAAUCUGGUGUUCAAGAACAUCUCAUUGGGUCCAUCCAAGCCCUAGCGUCACCCUGCCAUAGUGAACUCCUGAAAUGGGGAAAUAGGUGAAUUGUCUUGCUCACAUUUUCUAAGACUUGGCCUUGGUGUCAUUUUUUUUCCAUGAAGCAUUUCCUAAAUCCACCCAAGAAUUGCAGAACCCUACUUUCUUGGCACUCACAGAAGAAAGACCUUUACCUGUAGAUUUCAGUGUCUCUGUUUUAGUUGGAAUUUUAUUGCAAAUGCUUGUGAUAUGGUUUGGCUUUGUGUCCUCACCCAAAUCUCAUCUUGAAUUGUAAAACCCACGUGUCGAGGAAGGGACCUGGUGGGAGGUGAUUGGAUCAUGGGGGAGGUCACCCUCAUGCUGUUCUCGUGACAGUUGAUAGUGAAUGGGCUCACACCUGGCCAAGUACUUAAUAAUUUUAUCAAAUCUCAUCCGACUUAUAUGUUUCUUAAAAGACAAGUGGAAUCCAACCCCAAUAGAAAAACCUAACUGACGGUAAAUCUAGAAAAUUCUGGUAAAUCUGGUAAAUGCUGGUAAAUCUUAGAAAAUUCUUUUUUUUUUUUUUUUGAGGCGGAGUCUCACUCUUUUGCCCAGGCUGGAGUGCAGUGGCGCAAUCUUGGCUCACUGCAAGCAAGCUCCGCCUCCGGGGUUCACGCCAUUCUCCUGCCUCAGCCUCCCAAGUAGCUGGGACAACAGGCGCCCACCACCACACCCGGCUAAUUUUUUGUAUUUUUAGUAGAGACGGGGUUUCACUGUGUUAGCCUGGAUGGUCUCGAUCUCCUGACCUCGUGAUCCGCCUGCCUCGGCCUCCCAAAGUGCUGGGAUUACAGGCGUGAGCCACCGCGCCCAGCCAAAUCUUAGAAAAUUCUGUCAUUGAUUUUAUUUUUUCCUGAAAAGUGAAAAAAGACUCUGACUGCUCAAUUUUAAUAGCGGAGUAUCUUUUGAAACAAUAACGUGAUAAUAAAUUUGCAGCUGCGUGUGGUGGCUCAUGCCUGGAAUCCAAGCAAUUUGGGAGGCUGAGGUGGGAGGAUUGCUUGAGCCCAGGAGUUUGAGACCAGCCUGGGCAACAUAGGGAGACCCUGUCUCUAUAUUGAAAAAAUUUUUAUUUUAAAUAUAAAAAAAAUAAGUAAGGGCUGGACUCAGUGGCUCAUGCCUGUAAUCCCAGGACUUUGGGAGGCAGAGGUGGGUGGGUUGCUUGAGUGCAGGAGUUCAAGACCAGCCUGGGCAACAUGGUGAGACUCUGUCUCCACUAAAAAUACAAAAUAAUUAGCCUGGUGUGGUAGCGCUUGCCUGUAAUCCCAGCUACUCAGGAGGCUGAAGCAGGAGAAUCACUUGAACCCAGGAGCUGAAGGUUGCAGUGAGCCUGGAUUGCGCCACUGCAUUCCAGCCUGGGUGGGUGACUCUGACUCUUUCUCCAAAAAAAGAAAGAAAAAAAGAAAGUAUAUUUGAGAAGUAUUAUCCUAACAAAUAAGUAUUCCAGUAUAAGUGAUAUUCUGACCUUAAAAAAUAAUAUCUCUUCUCUAUAUGGGCUCAUAAAAAAUAAUAAAAAUACUAUGACAUUUGUAUAUCAUCUUACUACUUACAUGGAACUACCAUAUUGAUUCUAUUAUUUGACCCUGAAAAGUAAUGUCAGAAGCAAUUAUUAUAAUUAUAACCAUUUAAAUGAUGAGGCAAGUGAGAAUGAGUUAGAUUGUUCCCAGGCGUGCAUCUUAUUGGUAGAAGAGUUGGUGGACAGGCCCAGAUCUGCCUUCCAAAACCCCACAUGUAGGCUGGGUGGGGUGGCUUAUGCCUGUAAUCCCAGCACUUUGGGAAGCUGAGGUCACUUGAGCCCAGGAGUUCAAGGCUGCAGUGAGCUAUUAUUGCAGCACUGCAUUCCAGUCUGGGUGACUGAGUGAAUGAGAUCCUGUCUCUAAAAAAGGGAAGUGCGUGCAUGCGCGUGUGUGUGUGUGUUGAGACAGGGUUUCACUCAUGCCACCCAGGCUGGAGUGCAAUGGCACCAUCUCGACUCACUGCAACCUCUGCCUCUGAGGCUCAAUGGAUCCUCCAACCUCAGCCUUCCAAGUAGCUGGGACUACAGGCUCAUGCCACUGUACCUAGCUAAUUUUUGUAUUUUUCAUGGUGAUGGAGUUUCGCCAUGUUGUCCAGGCUGGUCUCAAACUCCUAAGCUCAAAUGAUUGGCCCACCUCUGCCUUCCAAAGUGCUGGGAUUACAAGCAUGAGCCACCACACCCGGCAAGCUUCAAUUGUGCUUCCAGGGCUCUUAAAGUAUCUGUAGACCCAAGAUGUCUGGGGGUGGAGGUGUGUGAGGCAGGGCCAGGAGGUAGCACCUCUGAUGGGCCAUGGUGAUAAGAUUGAGACCAGGGGAGGAAUUAGGCCACAUGCUAGCCUCUGGUCUCUGGUUGACUUUUCUUGUUUCAUUUGCCCACGGCUGGUUAUCCCAACUGCCUCUGACAAAGAUUUUUCAGCGACCAUAAUCAGGCUGAUCCCACAAAUAAGCUCAAGCUAAGAAUAAAUGCAGCGCUGGGGAACAUGAACAUGAACAUGAGCAUUAAAACCAGGAUCAUAGUCACCACAGGCCCAUAGUUCCAUAUCUGAAAUCCUUGGAGCCACAUGGCUUUCAGGACUCAGGGUGUUACCUACCACUGCUGGUGGACUCUCCUGCAGUAUUGUGCAAUCAAGCAUCUUACUAUUUCUGAAGCCAAAGGAUAGAUAUGCACAUGGAAUGAGACAAUGUCUAUAAAUAGGCUCAUGUCAGUUCAGGCCAGGUCAGGCCUUGACAUGCAAUGAGUUAUGUAGUAAGUUGUGGUUUGGGGAGCUUCUUGAAUUUCAGCAUUGUGGAUAAGGAAUAAUAGACCCUUAUCCGUGUAAUGCCAUCGUCACGCCAUUUUCUCCUCAUUACUCAUCUCAAAGACAAAACAUCUUCUUGCUGGAGUUCACAAUCGCUAGUGUUCGAUUCCUUAGAAGGACAUGUGAUGUCAUCAUUCUUGGGAUGCCUCUUAAUAUGGGAAGGCCCAGUUUUUGACCCUGAAGAAUUACCUUUAGAUGUUCAGCUUAGGGAAGUGUGGCAAAUGAGCAAGUUCUCAAGAACGGUUGGAAUUUUGUAGACUGAGGGGCCUGGGCGGAGUCCCUCCAUGUGACAGCUGUGGCAAGAGCAGGUGUUCACUUUCUAUAAGGGACGGAUCAGGGAGACAGAUGGACUGCAGCACAAGCUUUGUGCCGGGAAGUCAUGAUUUGAGCUGGGUGACAGGCUGCCAGGAUUAUAAAAUGAAGGGUUUGGGUUACAUGUCUUAAACAACAAAAAAUCACUGAAAGUUUUUGGGCAGAGACUGAUGGAAUAAAAAUGAGUCCUAAGCUGGGCAUGGUGGCUCAUGUCUGUAAUCCCAAUAAUUUGGAAGGCUGAGGUGGGAGGAUCUUGAGUCCAGCAGUUUCAGACCAGACUGGGCAACAUAGUGAGACCCCAUCUCUACAAAAAAUAACAGGACAUGAUGGUGCAUGCCUGUGGUCCCAGCUACUCAGGAGGCCGAGGUGGGAGGAUCGCUUGAGCCUGGGAAGUUGAGGCUACAGUGAGCCACUACUUCACUCAGCCUGGGAAACAGAAUAACACCCUGUCUCAAAAAAAAAAAAAAAAAAAAAAAGGCAGCCAGGCACAGUGCCUCACACCUGUAAUCCCACGAAUUUGGAAGGCCGAUGUGGGCAGAUCACCUAAGGUCAGGAGUUUGAGACCAGCCUGGCCAACAUGGCGAAACCCCAUCUCUACUAAAAAUACAAAAAUUAGCCAGGCAUGGUGGCACAUGCCUGUAAUCCCAGCUACUCAGGAGGCUGAGGCACGAGAAUUGCUUGAACCGGGAUGUGGAGGUUGCAGUGAGCCAAGAUUGGCCCACUGCACUCCAGCCUGGGCGACAGAGUGAGACUCUGUCUCAAAAGAAAAAAAAAAAAAAAAAAAAAGGAAACUGCUCACUGUUUGCUGAAUUUAGCAACCUGGCCCAGCAUUGGAAGCUCUGUUCUGCUUUGUCCUUUGCCUGAAAUGCCCUUCCCGGGCUCCCUCCCGGGUGUGCUCCCAUUCAUCUUUCAGGACUCAGCUCAAAUGUCACCUGCUUUGUGGAAGGUCUCCUUGGCCUCCCUGGGGAGCACUCACUGCUCCUUUCUCUAUGCCUUUGCAGGCACCUGAGGGCACUUCUCUCAUUUCACUGUGACUUCCUCCAGGGCAGGCUCUAAGUCUCUUGUUUUUUGACUGGCAUGUGGCACAAUUCUUGGCCCCCAAGAGUGCUAAGUAAUUGUUAGCUGAAUAAAUGCCGCUGAUAUGUCUUCUAUCAUCUCUUAAUAUUUUCUCAGUUCCCUAUUUUUUGUUUGUGUUUUAAAAUGGAUCAUAUCUAUGUAAUGGGAAUGGUAAAUCUCAUGUGGGUUAAAUUUUAGGACAUAAGAGUUAUCAUCAGCUUCCAAUAAAGAACCAUGGAUGGCUGGGUGUGGUGGCUCAUGCCUGUAAUCCCAGCAUUCUGGGAGGCUGAGGUGGGCAGAUCUCUUGAGGUCAGGAGUUUGAGACCAGUCUUGCCAACAUGGCGAAACCCUGUCUCUACUAAAAAUACAAAAGUUAGCUGGGCAUGGUGGUGGGCACCUGUAAUCCCAGCUACUUGGGAGGCUGAGGCAGGAGAAUUGCUUGAACCUGGGAGGCAGAGGUUGCAGUGAGCUGGGAUCGUGCCACUGCACUCCUGCCUGGGUGACAGAGUGAGAUUCCACCUCAAAAAAAAAAAAAAAAAAAAAAGAAAGAAAGAAAGAAAGAAAAAAAAAAGAGAGAGACAGAAGACAAAAGGACACAUAAAUAAGAAUACAAUGUGAACACAAAGGCAGGGAUUGGAGUGAGGCAGCUACAAGUCAAAACACUGACUGCCAAUACCUACCAGAAGUUAGGAGACAGGCAUGGAAUGGAUUCUCUAUCAAAGCCUCCAGAAGGAACCAACCUUCCUGUCACCUUGAUUUUGGACUUCCUGGCCUCCUGAACUGUGGGAAUAGAUUUAAAUUCGAGGUAAUUUCUGUGAUAAUCCUAGGAAUUUUUUUUUUUUUUGAGACAGAGUUUUUUUGCUCUUGUUGCCCAGGCUGAAGUGCAAUGGUGCAGUCUUGGCUCACUGCAACCUCCGCCUCCCGAGUUCAACCGAUUUUCCUGCCUCAGCCUCCCGAGUAGCUAGGAUUACAGGUGUGUGCCACAACUCCCAGCUAAUUUUUUGUAUUUGUAGUAGAGACGGGGUUUCAUCAUGUUGGCCAGGCUGGUCUCGAACUCCUGACCUCAGGUGAUCCACCUGCCUCGGCCUCCCAAAGUGCAGGGAUUACAGGCGUGAGCCACUGCGCCUGGCUAACUCUAGGAAAUUAAUACAAAUGCCAUUGGUCUUAUUUUAUUUUAUUUAUUUAUUUAUUUUUUUGAGACAGAGUAUCACUGUGUCACCUAGGCUGGAGUGCAGUGGCAUGAUCUUGGCUCAUUGCAACCUCAGCCUCCCAGGUUCAAGCAAUUCUCCCUGCCUCAGCCUCCCAAGUAGCUGAGACUACAGGCGCCCACCAUGACACUGGGCUAAUUUUUGUAUUUUUAGUAGAAACGGGAUUUCACCAUUUUGGCCAGGCUGGCCUUGAACUCCUGACCUCAGGUGAUUCUCCUGCCUUGGCCCCCCAAAGUGCUGGGAUUACAGGUGUGAGCCACAGUACUCGGCCAUUGCUUUUAUUUCAAGCGGUGUCAUUUAAUGGCCCAUGGAGAUAUCAAGAAGCAGUGUAGCAUAAAGGUUAGGGGCUCAGGACGGGAGUCAGACAGUCUGGAUGUAGUUUCAGCUCUAUUCUCUGAACUUGGAUUUUUUCAUCUGAAGGAUGGGGUGAUAUAAUAUUAGUAGCUACCUGCUAUAGAAUGACUGUUUUUGUCCCCACCAAUAUUCGUAUGUUGAAAUCAUAACCCCUAAUGUAAUGAUAUUAGGAGGUGGAGCUUUGGUAGCUGAUUAGGCUGUAAGACAGAGCUCUUAUGAGUAAGAUUAAUACCUGCUAUGGUUUGAAUAUUUGUGGCCCCCCUCACCCAGAUUCAUAGGUUGAAACCUAAUCUCCAAUGCAGUAAUAAGAGGGAUAUGACUUGGUCAUAAGGGUGGAGCCCUCAUGAGUGAGAUUAGUGCCCUUAUAAAAGAAACCCAAGGGAGCUUCUUCAUUCCUUCUGCCAUAUGAAGACACAGCAGGAGACACAAUCUAUGAACCUGUAAGAAGGUCCUCGCCAGACAUCGAAUCUGCUGGUACCUUGAUCUUGGACCUCCCAGCCUUCAGAAUUGAGAGUAAUACAUUUCUUUUGUUUCUAAAUUACCCAGUCUAAGGUCUUUUGUGAUAGCAGCAGAACAGACUAAGACAGUGUCCAUAUAAAGGAGACCCUCCGUGGGGUGGGGACAAGGAUUGAAAAACUACCUAGUGGGUACCAUGCUCAUUAUCUGUGUAAUGGGUACUCUAGAAGCUCAGCACCUACCAGAACACAUUAUUGCAAUAUACCCAUGUAGUAAAUGUGCACACGUAUCCCCUGAAUCUAAAUUUUUUUUAAAAAAGGAAAGACCCUGGAGAACCCCUUGCUCCUUCUGACAUUUGAGGUUUUAGCAAGAAGAUGGUAAUCUGUGAACCAAAAACAAGCCCUCACCAGAUACUGAAUCUAGUGGCACCUUAUCUUGUACUUCCAGCCUUCAGAACUGCGAGAGAGAGAGAGAAAAAAAAAAAAGAAUGUUAUUUGAACCACCCAGUCUAUAGUAUUUUUGUCAUAGCAGCCUGAACAGACUAAGAUACCAACAUGUAAGACUCUAGCAGGGGCCGGUGGAAAUUGAGACAAUAGAUGAAAAGUAUUUAUAUGCAUACAGAAGACACUCGAUACAUGUUAUUAGUCAAUUAUUAGGUGGAGGCAAGAGUUUACUGGCCUGCAGAUGCUAUCAUCACCACAAGGGCAAUAUAUUUGAAAGCGGUAUUUAACCCUUAAGCUGCACCCAACUUAAAGCAGCUAUUUUUCUUUUUAACUUCUUUCUAUGUGUAAAGCCUAUUUCCUUUAGGUCAUAUAUUUGUACUGAUUUGCAGGCAUCUGUGAAGUUAUCAGAAUAAUUGAAUUUUAGAGCUUAUCAGUCAUCCAGUAGAGUGUUUUCCACCCGGGAUACCCAGAGGGCUCAGCCUCCCUGAAUAUGGUAAUAGGAGUCCUCAGGCUUUUUUCAAUACGGGCAUACUUCCUUUUAUUGCGCUUCACCUUAGUGCAUUGCUUCUUUGCAGAUACCUCUCUCUCUCUCUCUCUCUUUUUUUUUUUUUUAAACAAAUUGAAGGUUCCUGGCAACCGUGCUUCAAGCAAGUCUAUCUGUGCUGUUUUUCCAACAGCAUGUGCUUACUUCCUGUCUCUGUGUCACAUUUUGGUAAUUCUUGGAAUAUUUCAAACUGUUUCAUUAUUAUUAUGUCUGUUACGAUGAUCUAUGGUUAAGUGAUCAUCUUUUAGUUUGUUUGCUUGUUUUUUGUUGUUGUUGUUUGUUUGUUUGUUUUGAUGGAGUCUCACUCUGCAGCCCAAGCUGGAGUGCAAUGGCACGAUCUCGGCCCACUGCAACCUCCGCCUCUCCGGUUCAAGCGAUUCUCCUGCCUCAGCCUCCUGAGUAGCUGGGAUUACAGGCAUGCACCAUCACGCCUGGCUAAUUUUGUAUGUUUUUUAGUAGAGAUAGGGUCUCAUCAUGUUGGUCAGGCUGGUCUCAAACUCCUGACCUUAGGUGAUCCACCCGCCUCAGCCUCCCAAAGUACUGGGAUUACAGGUGUGAGCCCCCGCACCCAGCCUAUUUGCUUGUUUUUGAGACUGGGUCUCACUCUGUGCCCAGGCUGGAGGGCAGUGGCAUGAUCUUGACGCACUGCAGUCUUGACCUCCCAGGUCAAGCAAUCCUCCUGCCUCAGCCUCCCAUCUGGCUGAGACUACAGGUGUGUGCCACCAUGUCCAGCUAAUUUUUGUAUUUUUUGUAGAGAUGGUGGUCUCACCAUGUUGCCCAGGUUGGUCUCAAAUUUCUGAGCUCAAGCAAUCCUCCCACCUUGGCCUCCCAAAAUGCUGGGAUAACAGGUAUGAACCACUGUGCCAAGCCUAUUUGUUUGGUUUACUUCUCUUACUAUCAUUCCCAAAUUGGUGAUCUUUGAUGUCACUCUUGUAGUUGUUUUGGGACACCAUGAACUACGCCCAUAUAAGAUAGCAGACUUAAUUGAUAAAUAUGUGUGUGCUGACUGCUUCACCAACUGGCUAUUCUCCCAUCUCUCUCCCUCUCUUUGGGCCUUCCUGUUCUCUGAGAUGCAAUCAUUUGAAAUUAGGCCAAUUAAUAACCCUACAAUGGCCUUAAAUGUUCAAGUAAAAGGAAGAGUCAUAUGUCUCACUUUAAUCAAAAGCUAGAAAUGAUUAAGCUUAGUGAGAAAGCCAUGUCAAAAGCUGAGGUAGGCCCAAAGCUAGGCCUCUUGUGCCAAAUAGUUAGCAAACUUGUGAAUAUGAAGGAAAAGUUCUUGAAAUAAAUUAAAAGUGCGACUCCAGUAAACACACAAGUAAUGGGAAAGUGAAGCAGCCUUAUUGCUGAUACGGAGAAGGUUUUAGUGAUCUAGGCAGAAGAUCAACGUAGCCACAAUACUCCCUAGAUUCAAAGCCUAAUCCAAUGAAAUGUUUUAACUCUUUUCAAUUUUAUAAAGACUGAGAGAGGUGAGGAAGCUGCAGAAGCAAAGUUUGAAAUUAGCAGAAUUUGGUUCACAAAAUUUAAAGAAGCUGUCUCCAUAACAGAAAAGUGCAAAGUGAAAUUUAAUAGCAAGUGCCGAUGGGGAAGCUGCAGCAAGUUAUCCAGAAAAUCUAAGAUAACUGAUGAAGGUGGCUACACUAAACAGCAGGGGUUUUUUUUAUCUUUUUUUUUUUAUUUGAGACAGAGUUUCGUUCUUGUUGCCCAGGCUGGCGUGCAAUAGUGCAGUCUUGGGUCACUGCAACCUCCGCCUGCUGGGUUCAAGCAACUCUCCUGUCUUAGCCUCCUGAGUAGCUGGGAUUACAGGCAUGUGCCACCAUGCCCGGAUAAUUUUGUGUUUUUAGUAGAGACAGGGUUUCAUCAUGUUGGUCAGGCUGGUCUUUUUUUUUUUUUUUUUCUCAUCAUUGUUGCCCAGGCCGGAAUGCAAUGGCAUGGUCUCGGUUCACCACAACCUCUGCCUCCGGGGUUCAAGUGAUUCUCCUGCCUCAGCCUCCCGAGUAGCUGGGAUUAUAGGCGUGCACAAGCACGCCCGGCUAAUUUUGUAUUUUUAGUAGAGACGGGGUUUCUCCAUGUUGGUCAGGCUGGUCUCGAACUCCGGACCUCAGGUGAUCUGCCCGCCUCUGCCUCCCAAAGUGCUGGGAUUACAGGCAUGAGCCACCUCGCCCGGCCUGGUCAGGCUGGUCUUGAACUCUUGACCUCAGGUGAUCUGCCUGCCUCGGCCUCCCAGAGUGCUGGGAUUACAGGCGUGAGCCACCUCGCCCAGCCAACAGCAAGUUUUCAAUGUAGGCACAAUAGCCUUAUAUUAGAUGAAGAUAAAAAAAGAAAAAAAAAAAAAAGAAAAUCUUGGCUAUCACUAAAAAUAAAUAAAUAAAUAAAUAAAUAAAUAAAUAAAUAAAUAGGCCAGGGGCGGUGACCCACGCCUGUAAUCCCAGCACUUUGGGAGGCCGAGGCGGGUGGAUCAUGAGGUCAGGAGUUCGAGACCAGCCUGGCCAAGAUGGUGAAACCCCCGUCUCUACUAAAAAUAAAAAAAAAAAAAAUUAGCUGGGUGUGGUGGCGGGCACCUAUAAUCCUAGCUACUCGGGAGGCUGAGGCAGGAGAAUUGCUUGAACCCGGGAGGUAGAGGUUGUAGUGAGCCGAGAUCGUGCCACUGCACUCCAGCCUGGGUGACAGAAUGGGACUCCAUCUCAAAAAAAUAAAUAAGUAAAAUACAAAUAAAUAAAUAAAGUAAAAUAAAGGGCCAGGCAUGGUGGAUCAUACCUGUAAUCCCAGAACUUUGGUAGGCUGAGGUGAGCAGAUCACUUGAGGUCAGGAGUUCAAGACCAGCCUGGCCAACGUGGUGAAACCCAGUCUCUACUAAAAGUACAAAAAUUUGCCAAGAGUGGCGGUGGGUGCCUGUAAUCUCAACUACUCAAGAGGCUGAGGCAGGAGAAUCACUUGAAUCUGGGAGGCAGAGGUUGCAGUGAGCCGAGAUCACGCCAUUGCACUCCAGCCUGGGUAAUAGAGCAAGACUCCGUCUCAAAAAAAAAAAAAAAAAAAAAAAAAGAAAAAAAAAGAAAAGAAAAAAGGAAAAAAGAAAGAGGAAAAUCCCAUUUUUUUCUCAUGCUUAAAAAUCAACUCCUCAGUCUCAAAAAUAAAUAAAUAAAUAAAAGGAAGAGAAUGCCAUCUAAGACUUUCUUAGCUAGAGAGCAGUGCCUGGCUUCAAAGCUUCAAAGGACGGGCUGACUCUCUCGUUAGAGGCUGAUGCAGCUGGUGACUUUACGUUUAAAGCUGCUACUCAUUUACCAUUCCAAAAAUCCUAGGGUCCUUAAGAAUUAUGCUGAAGCUACUCUGCCUGUGCUGUAUAAAUGAAACAACAAAGCCUGGAUGACAGUACAUCUGUUUAUGGCAUGGUUUACUGAACAUUUUAAGCCCACUGUUGAGAAGUACUGCUCAGAAAAAAAAUAAAUAAAUAAAUUUUCAAAAUAUUACUGUUUAUUGAUGAUGCACCUGGUCAUCCAAGAGGUCUGAGGUCUGAGGGAGAUGUAUAAGGAGAUUCAUGUCGUUUUUGUGCCCCUAAUACGGCAUCCAUUCUGCUGCCCGUGGAUCAAGGAGUAAUUUCAACUUUCAAGUCUUAUGAUUUAAAAAGAUACAUUUUGUAAGGCUAUGGCUAUAAAAUCAUAGAUAAUGAUUCCUCUCAGGAAAGGAUUCACCAUUCUAGAUGCCAAUUAAGAACAAUUCAUGAUUCAUGGGAGAAGGUCAAAAUAUUAACAUUAAUAGGAGUUUGAAAGAGGUUGAUUUCCAACCCUCGUGGAUGACUUUGAAAGGUUCAAGAUUUUAGUGGAGGAAGGAACUGCAGAUGUGGUAGAAACAGCAUGAGAAGGCCAGGCAUGGUGGCUCACACCUGUAAUCCCAGCACAUUGGGAGGCUGAGGUAGGCAGAUCACCUGAGGUCGGGGGUUUGAGACCAGCCUGGCCAACAUGGUGAGACCACUGUCUUUACUAAAAAAAAACAAAAAAUUAGCCAGGCAUCGUGGUGCAUGCCUUGGGAAGCUGAGGCAGGAGAAUGGCUUGAACCUGGGAGGAGGAGGUUGCAGUGAGCCAAGAUUGCGCCGUUGCACUCCAGCCUGGGCAACAAGAGUAAAACUCUGUCUCAAAGAAAAGAAAAGGAAAGAAACAGCAAGAGAAAUAGAAGUGGAGCCUGAAGAUGUGACUGAAUUGCUGCCAUCUCAUCAAACUUGAAUGGAUGAGGAGUUGAUUUUUAAGGAUGAGAAAAGAUUGGGAUUUUCCUCUUUUUUUUUUUUUUUUUUUUUUUGAGACUGAGUCUCACUCUGUCACACAUGCUGGAGUGCAAUGGCAUGAUCUCGGCUCACUGCAACCUCCACCUCCCAGGUUCAAGCAAUUCUCCCACCCCAGCUUCCUGAAUAGCUGGGAUUACAGGCACCCACCAUUAUACCCAGCUAAUUUUUGUAUUUUUGUAGAGACGGGGUUUCACCAUGUUGGCCAGGCUGAUCUUGAACACGUGACCUCAGGUGACCUGCCUGCCUCGGCCUCCCAAAGUGCUGGGAUUACAGGCGUGAGCCGCCGUGCCUGGCCAAGAAUGGGAUUUUUUUUUUUUUUUAGACGGAGUCUUGCUCUUGUCGCCCAGGCUGGAGUGCAAUGGUACAAUCUCGCUCACUGCAACCUCUGCCUCCUGGGUUCAAGCGAUUCUCUUGCCUCAGCCUCCCGAGUAGCUGGGAUUACAGGCGUCCACUACCAUGCCCGGCUAAUUUUUGUAUUUUUAGUAGAGACAGGGUUGUGCCAUGUUGGCCAGGCUGGUCUCAAACUCCUAGCCUCGUGAUCCACCCGCCUCAGCCUCCCAAAGUGUUGGGAUUACAGGCGUGAGCCACCACGUCUGGCUAAGAAUGGAAUUUUCUUGAGGUGAAAUCUUCUCCUGGUGAAGAUGCUGUGAACAUUGUUGGAAUAACAACAAACAUCUUACAGUACUACAUAAACUUAAUCGAUAAAGCAGCAGCAGAAUUUGAGAAGAUUCACUCCAAUUUUGAAAGAAGUUCUGUGGGUAAAAUGCUAUCAAACAGCAUCUCAUGGUACAGAGAAAUCUUUUGUAAAAUGAAGAGUAAAUUGAUGCUGCGAACUUCACUGAUGUCUUCUUUUUAGAAAUUGCCACAGCCUCCGUAACCUUCAGCAGCCACCAUCCUGAUCAGUUAGCAGCCAUCAUCAAGACAAGACCCUUCCCCAGCAUAAACAUUACGGCUUGCUGAAGACUUAGAUCAUAGUUAGCAUUUUUAAGCAAUCAAGUGUUUUAAAAUUAAGGUAUGUACAUUAUUUAUUUAUACAUAAUGCCAUCUUACACUUAAUAGACUACAGUAUAGUGAAAACAUAACCUGUAUAUACACUGAGAAACCAAAAUCUUCAUGUGACUUGCUUUAUUGCAGUGGUCUGGAACUGAACUCACAAUAUAUCUGAGGUAUGCCUGUAUUUCAGGAAGUCUAACAAAAACCACGCAUCAUUUGUCUGUGGGAAGAGGGUAUAGUAUAAUUGAAAUGUCAAGGUUUUUCAAUAGUUUGCUUUUAAUGGAAUAAUAGUUGCUAGGUGUGGUAACACUGGUUAUCUCAUGAAAAAAGGAAUUAACAUAUACAAUUUGUUUCAGAUAAAAGAUUUACAAAGUAUAGGGAACAUACGUGAAAUAAUAAAAGUGUCUUUGUAUUGUGUUCCAACCAUUUAAUGUUAUGUCAUGCUGUUAUGUGAUGUUGUGGUCUCUCCAGGACCAAAUAGAGGCUCCAAGAGGUUCAAUAAAUUGUCUAUGGUCACAAUUAUUUAGUGAUAGGGACAAAAUUAUCACACAGGAUUUUGACUCCCAAUGCAGGACUCUUCCCCAACAAUAUUUUCCAUGAGUUCUGAGGAUUCUUAGACCUUUGGUAUCUAUCUAUCUAUAUCUAUAUCUAUCUAUCUAUAUCUAUCUGUCUGUCUGUCUAUCUAUCUAUCUAUCUAUCUAUCUUAUUUAUUUAUUUAUUUUUGAGAUGGAGUUUCACUCUUGUCACCCACGCUGGAGUGCAAUGGCGUGAUCUUGGCUCACUGCAACCUCUGCCUCCCAGUUUCAAGUGAUUUUCCUGCCUCUGCCUCCCAAAAAGCUGGGACUACAGGUGCCUGCCACCACGUCCAGAUAAUUUUUGUAAUUUUAGUAGAGAUGGGGUUUCACGAUGUUGGCCAGGCUGGUCUUGAACUCCUGAGCUCAGGUGAUCCACUCUCCUCAGCCUCCCAAAGUGUUGGGAUUACAGGCGUGAGCCACCAUGCCCGGCAGGCCUAUAUUGUUCAUCCAUUUGUUCAACAUACAGAUGUGACCGGUCCAGACACUGCCACUAUAUUCACAGAGCUUGCAGCCCUGGUAGGAACAUAGUCAUGGGACUCCUUGGCCACCAAGUAGCAGAAGCCCAGCUUUAGCAAGAGUGUGGAUAUAUGGCGAGCACCUUGGAGCUCCUUGCAACCCCAGAACCAGGGACACCUAUUGUCGGAGCAUACCUGAUCCUUUGCCUCUGAACUUUUCCAUGUGUUGGCUUCCUUCUAUUCUCUCUCUUUCUCUCAAUCUCCCUCUCUCUUCAAAAAUCAACUUCCCUCAGCUCCGGGGUCCACAUGGUGAAACAUAUAGCCAAUGCCUCCUCCAAGGCCACCUAUAAAAAGGUGAGCACUUUUUUGAUGGGGGUUACACAACAUGCUAUUUAGAGCACUGGAAAAGGGCAUUUCACAUUUGUGCUGAGACCUGAAUGGUGCAUCAGCAGGAGGGGAGGUGGAGGGCAGGGGUAGGGAGAGGGAGGGUAUUUCAGGGACAGCAUUUGUGAAGGUCCAGAGACAAGACAGGAACUGCAAGUGGGCCAGUAGGAUGAGAGGGGGUGUAUAAUGGGAUGGGGCUGGGCAGGUGGCGAGGGGAGGGCUGAGGCUGGAGAGGUGAACAGGGGCAGGAACACUGGCGCCCUAUGGGCCAUUUUAAGUUAAGUAAGGACCAGACAUAAUCAGAUUUGGCUAAAUUUCAUCUGCUGAAAAAAUAGUUGAUAAGAGAAACUGUGAGUGUAAGGAAUGAUCAAAACAAACUAUGUAAAAUGAGUUCUGUUUUCUUAUUUGUUUACACCAUGUAUUUUGUAUUCAAUGUCCCAUGGAAGAAAAUAUUAGGCCACAUCCAGUUACAAUUCAGACCUUGCUAGGUGCCAAGGGCAAGGACCCACUAGCCCAUGGUGGGCAGGGAUUCAGGGUGCUGGGGUGCACAGUCUAAUCCAAUAUACCAUAUACUGCUUUCUCCUGAAAUGUUUUUGGUUCUGAUCAAUCAACAGAAAUAUCUGACCCCAUAGAAGUGAGGGAAAGCUCUCAUUCUGCAGUGUGCCUACCACUCUUCCAGGAUGUCAGCUGUCACCAGAUUCCUGCUGCACUGUGUGAGGUCUAAUUCUAGUCUUUCUAAUUUGUUGGUUUGGUUCUUUUUUUUUUUUUUUUCUUUGAGACAGGGAGUUUCGCUCUGUUGCCCAGGCUGGAGUGCAGUGGCCUGAUCUUGGCUCACUGCAACCUCUAUCUUCUGAGUUUAAGCGAUUCUCCUCCCUCAGCCUCCUGAGUAGCUGGGAUUACAGGCAUGCACCACCACGCCCAGCUAAUUUUUGUGUUUUUAGUAGAGACAGGGUUUCACUGUGUUGGCCAGGCUGGUCUCGAACUCCUGACCUCAGGUGAUCUGCCCACCUCAGCCUCCCAAAGUCCUGGGAUUACAGGCUUGAGCCACCAUGCCCAGCUGGUUCUUUAUUUUUGGACAAAAGUUGUGUUCCUGGUGGAUUUGGUUAUUCCUUCUUGUCCUGAUCUAUUACACCAUUUCAUCAAAUCAGUCGACAAUAUGUUGUUCUUUUUAAGUAACUCCAGUUGACUUGUAAUACUGAUAGCAGUCCUGCGGUAUCGCGUUUCCUUCUGGGGUAGCAAAUUGAAAAGUAUAUUUCAAUUUUCCAAUUACAAGAAAUAUUUUUCAAAGCCAUUUAUUUAUUAAAAUCUUAAGUGCAUAGUAAAGCUAUGUUUUAAUGUGAUUUUACAGAGCAUUUUAAGACCUGUUUUGUUAAAAAAAAAUUAUUAUUCUGGCCACUGGCCAAAGUGCCCAUGUUAGUCUUGUUUUCUUUUUAGCCAUUGAAGGCCACCAGGAAUUAGCUGGCAUUGUGGCAUGCACCUGUGGUCCCAGCUACUCUGGAGGCUGAGGUGGGAGGAUUGCUUGAAUCCAGGAGGUCAAGACUGCAGUGAGCUAUGAUGGUGCCACUGCACUCCACACUCCAGGCUGGGCAACAGAGCAAGACCCUGUCUUAAAAUAAAUAAAUAAAUAAAUAAAUAAGGCCAGGUGUGGUGGCUCACGCCUGUAAUCCCAGCACUUUGGGAGGCCAAGGUGGGCAGAUCACUUGAGCUCAGGAAUUCGAGACCAGCCUGGCCAACAUGGUGAAACUCUGUCUGUACUAACAAUACAAACAUUAACUGGGCAUGGUGGCAGGCACCUGUAAUCGCAGCUACUUGAUAUUGGGAUUGGGAGGCUGAGGCGGGAGAAUCGCUUGAACCCAGGAGGCGGAGGUUGCAGUGAGCCAAGAUUGUGCCAUUGCACUCCAGCCUGGGCGACAGAGCGAGACUGUCUGAAAAACAAAAUAAAACAAAGCAAAAAAGGCCACUAGGAUUAAAAUGCAAUUUAUGCCUCAGAAGAAAUAAUCCAUCCCAUCCCCUGGCAUUCUCCUUCUCAUCUAGAUCAAAUCUAGUGAUCGGUCUGGUCCCUACCCCCUCGAACAGCCUAACCCCUGGUCUGUCUCCAGACUGCAGACACUCCUUCAUCUCUAGCUGGCCCUAGAGUCACGGGCUUCUCUUUUUCCUAGACCCUUCACCUUGCUCCCUGAGGUAAGAAGGCCAAAGGGAAGAAAAGAACCUGCUCUGUCGUUUAGUAAGCUUGCACUGGUAGCCCAAGCCCAGGAACACAUGCUUCCAGCAGCUUCUCCUUCAGAAGCUCACCCAGGUCCUCGGCAGACCAGCCCUCAUCACAGUGCAGGCUUCAGAGCAACAGGCUCCUGGAGAAGUAGGCUUGUGAAAGGCAAGUGUCAGGAAAAAGGAAGCGGAGCAUGGCCUGAAGUCACGGAGCAUCUUUGGAUGAGAGAGGAGGGUGGGGCGGGCGAGUGCAAUGCGGUGCAGAGGCUUGGGCAGAUCUGACUUUCUUCACAUCCGACUUUCCACUUAGUUGGUGUUGUAAUUGUGACUUCAAAAGGCCAUUCCACCAUUCUAUCCAUCCAGCUGCUUCAGGAUGAUGGGGAACAUGGUAAGACCAGUGAAUUCCAUAAGCAUGAGCCCACUGCCACUUCUUUACCCAUAAAGUGAGUGCCUAGGUCAGAGGCAAUGCUGUGUGGAAUUCCAUGAUGGUGCAUAAGGCAUUCUGUGAGUCCGCAGAUGGUAGUCUUGGCAGAAACGUUGCGAGCAGGAUAGGCAAACCCACAUCUUGGCCUGCAUGAGCCCUCCAUACACUCACACUUAGAUUCUUCCCAUACAUCCUUUCCUCACACUGGGAUCCCUACUGGGAGCUUACCUUUGGAACCCUACGCGGUUGUACACCACAUGGAUGAGAGGUGACCUCUGGGGCUGGCGCACCCUGUCACUCUGGGCACACAUUAUUCUACAAGCAAUGGAUGAGGUUUCAGCAUCCCUUUCUCUCCAGACCCGUCCCCACUCUACUGCAGCUUCUUUACAUCAUGUUUUACACAAUAAUCCCUUGAGGGUUCAACACUGAUUUUUUUUUUAAGCCUGAAGAAAAACACAUUUUCUCUCCUCUUUCAUUUUUAGUUAUCAAAGCACUGAAGCAUUUGAUUCGAAAGCAAAACAAAAAGCAAACACAUGAGGCCAAAUUAUGCCUUCCAUGGACAGGAACUGUGCGUGUGGAUUAAAGAACUGGGUUGGUUCCCAGGAAGAAAAUGACAUGGAUUUCUAAGAACAGAUAGAGGAGAAAAGUAGGUCCACUUUUCAACCUCUCAACCCUGUCAUUGUCCUUUAAAACUCAUUGUCAGUGUUUGGUGAAGUCUGUGCAAGGCCAUGAAUACUGAACUCAUGCUCUGGGCAAAAUAAGGAGCUUAGCAUUUGAGAAAGUGUGGCUGAACUUUGUCUCCAUAAAGACAUUGUAAGAGAGUCAAUUACUUUUAUUUCUUAUUUCAAAUCAAGGCUAAUGGAUCACCAAGUAACGCUUUGCCAUUUUGAUGGGAGGAAAAAUUCAAAUUUGAUCAUAAGAAACUAAGGUUUAGAAAAGUAUUUUUUGCUUUCUUUUUUUUGUUUGUUUGGUUUUUUUUGUGAGAUGGAGUCUCGCUUAGUUGCCCAGGCUGGAGUGCAGUGGCGCCAUCUCGGCUCACUGCAAGCUCCGCCUCCCGGGUUCAUGCCAUUCCCCUGCCUCAGCCUCCCAAUUAGCUGGGAUUACAGGCGCCCGCCACCACGCCCGGCUAAUUUUUUGUAGUUUUAGUAGAGAUGGGGUUUCACUGUGUUAGCCAGGAUGGUCUUGAUCUCCUGACCUCGUGAUCCGCCUGCCUCAGCCUCCGAAAGUGCUGGGAUUACAGGCAUGCGCCACCAUGCCUGGCUUUUGCUUUCUUAAAAAAAAAUUUUUUUUGUAAAGACAGGGUCUUGUUCUGUUGCCUAGGCUAGAGUGCAAUGGUGUGAUCACAGUUCACGGCAUCCUCCAGGCUCAAGUGAUCCUCCUGCCUCAGCCUCCCAAGUAGCUGGGACCACAGGCACACACCACCACACCACCUAAUCAAAAAAUAUUUUAAUGAGAUAUUCUUUCUUUCCGAAUCAAAACUAGUAGAACUAAGGACACAGUCAUUAAAGCAAUUUUUUUCCUCCCACCAGUAUUGACCAAGUGUCUACUAUGUCUGUGUUCGUUUUCUGUAUGUGCCCUAACAAAUGACCACAAACUUGGUGGCUUAAAACAACAGAAAUUUAUUUUCUCACAGUUCGGGAGGGCAGAAGUCCAAAAUCAAGGGGUUAGUGGGACCACCGUCUAUCAGAAGACUCUAGGGGAGAGUCCUUCCUGGCCUCUCCCAGCUUUUGGUGCCUCCAGCGGCUUUGGCUGGGGGCUGCAUCACGCCACUCUCUGCCCCAAUCUUCACACGGCCUUCUCCUUUGUCCAUGUGCCUCUCAUCUUUUGCCUCUUACAAGGACACUUGUCAUUGGGUUUAGGGCCCAUCCAGAUAAUCCAGGACAAUCCCGUCUUAAUUGUAGCUGCAAAGACUCUUUUCCCAACUAAGGUCACCAUCACAGAUUUUGGGGUGUGGGAAAAUCUUUUUGGGGGCUACUAUAAUAUAUAACCCACCACAGUGUUGAAACACUGCACCUGGUACUGUAGAGUGAAGGCAGCUGUGUUCUCAGGGUCACAGCUGGGAGUGUGUGUUGGCGUCAGAAACAGAUGUAAACGUGUCUGCGUUCAGAGUGGGGGAUGCAUUUCUGGAGGGGCUUCUCUCAACAGUUUAUAGAUGGGAUACCACCUGAUCUGGGCCUUUGGUAGGAUUUUUGUUUUAUUUUUCAAAAAUGUAUGUUCAAUGCAGACAUUUAGAAGUUACAGACAAACAAAAAACAAAACAAAAUGCAGUCACUUAUAUUUCUACCACUUAGAAGUUCUAUAAAAUCUUUUCAGGUUUUUUUCUGUUUCUGUAAACAUAUUUAAAAUAUGCUUUCUAAUAAAUAAAAUCGGAACAUUAGACCUCAUUUUUUGACCCAAAAUUUUUACUUAUGAAGAUGGCAAGAACAUGUUUCUGUGUUAAAUUUAGAAUGUCUAUUCCAAUUUAAUUGAGUGAUUGAUGGAUGGAGGUGGAGUCUCACUCUGUCACCCAGGUUGGAGUGCAGUGGCACCAUCUCGGCUCACUGCAACCUCUGCCUCAUGGGUUCAAGUGAUUCUCCUGCCUCGGCCUCCUGAGUAGCUGGGACUACAGACACGCACCACCAUACCCAGCUAAUUUUUGUAUUUUUAGUGGAGAUGGGGUUUCAACAUGUUGGCCAGGCUGGUCUCGAACUCCUGACCUCAAGUAAUCCUCCUGCCUCAGCCUCCCAAAGUGCUGGCAUUACAGGCGUGAACCACUGCGUUCGGCCUCUAUUCCAAUUUUAAUAAUGUGUUAGUAGUGUUUCACCUAAUGAUUGUAGAUACCAACAAUUAUUUAACCAAUCUCUUAUUGUUACACACGUAAUUUUUUAACUUUUGCUAUUGUGAAGCAUGCUGCAAUUAAUAUUCUAUUAUGCCAUUUUGGCUGGACACGGUGGCUCACACCUGUAAUCCAAGCACUUUGGGAGGCUGAGGCAGGCUGGUCACUUGAUGUCAGGAGUUCGAGACCAGCCUGGUCAACAUGGUGAAACCCUGUCUCUACUAAAAAUACAAAAAUCAGCUGGGCGUGGUGGUGUGUACCUGUAAUACCAGCUACUCAGGAGGAUGAGGCAGGAGAAAGAAUCACUUGAACCCGGGAGGCGGAGGUUGCAGUGAGCCAAGAUCGUGCCGCUGCACUCCAACCUGGGUGACAGAGACUCCGUCUUAAAAAAAAAAAAAAUCUAUUUUGUCAUUUUUUUGAUGCUUGUCUGAUUAUUUUCCACAGAAUAAAUGACUAGAAGUAGAAUUGCUGGGGGCAAAGGUAUGUGCUCAUAGGGCUUUUGAUAGUUAUUUCCAAAAGGCAACCUGAAAGGCCAUUAACAGUGGAAAGUCAAUUAAGAUAUUUGAGAAGCGUGAUCUCCAGAAGACCCCUUCCAGCUUUACAGUUUUGUGACUCUGGGAUUCCUAGAUUUAAGAAGUGUUAAGGCUAUACUGGAGGAAGAAAGACACUCAAAGAGAAAAUCACUGGAUUUGUAGAGCUUGGAUAUCCACAGAGACCUUGGGCAUUGCCCAAGAUAAUAUUGGGAUUAGGACCAGAGAGGACUCCCGUGGCCAAGGUGUUAAACGCCUUCAUUUAUGUUUGGGGUUCAGUAGAGACCAGAGAAGAGGAGGGAAAGAAGUGGUAUUCUCUACUUAUUCAUGACUUCUCCUACCCUAGGAGUUCUGUUUAUUGCCUUGUCUCUGUGUUGUUUGCCUCUGUUUCUUUUGUGUCAGCUGGUCUUUCCUAUAUCUUGCAUCUGAAUUCUCUGAAUUGCAGAAUAUGAUUUGACCAGCCAAUCACAAGCUAAUAUAGAGGCUGCAUGCUGUGCAGAUUACAUCAGGGCAGCUGACUAGCCUUCAUGUUAUAUGUCCACCAUGGUCUGGUUGGCUGUGGUCAGCAUGACAAGGUACUAUAGUACCAAGUACAGGGGCGAAGUUUUGCUGAAAAUUCAACUCACAAAAAUGCAGGUUAAUAAAAGAGAAGGCAUACAGAUGCAUUACUACCGUGUGCAUGGGCAGAGUCACAGAGUGAUUGCCCAGUAUCCCAAUGGGGUACAGAUUCUUAUAUACCCUACUUCUUAGGGAAAAGGAAGAUGGUGGGGGGGCGGUCUGUGGAGGAUUUUAGGGGUAGUAACCGAUUUUUAGAGAAUUCAAUGGGCUUGAAGAACAUACAAUGGUCUUGGGACAAAGUCUUUUGAGCCUGCAGAGCAGACAAUGGUUUGUGACAAAAAUCCAUCUAGGUUUGUUGACAGACUUCUGCCUGCCUUCCUGCAGUAAGGGUUCAGUUAAUGAAAACUCAGGGAAGGGACCAGAGGUCAUUGCUUUGUUCUCUGGUAGGUCUGGACUUUAGGCAGAUAAAGGAACUUCAGAGAGCAACUUCACUCUGUGCUUUGGGAGAGGUAGAGGAUUAAGAGGGGGGAAGGACACAAAUUGUUCUCCUUAGUGGGUCUGCUGGGCUUAGUGUAGAUAGGGGAAAAGUCUCUGGCAGCAUCCACUCAUCUCUAAGGACCUGUAAUUCCAAAUACUUGUUAUACCAGGGAGCCAAAUUUGAGGGGAAGUUCCCUGCACUCCUUCACAAGCAUAUUGAAGAACCUCUAGGUUCUAGGCUGGGAUGUGGCAGGCACUCAGAAACUUGAAGUGUGGGUGAAUUCCUGGUGGCUUCUUGGAAUUCUCUGCCUAGGACAGGAGACCAGUUAGGAAGAGCUAACGUAAACCAGCCAAGUUGUAACACGAGCCUGAAAUAGGGAAAGAGAGUGGAAAUGAAAAGGAGGGAGGCAAUAACACAAAUGAUAGUGCACAUUUAUUGAGUGCUUUUGAUGCGCCAGGGUCUGUUCUCAGCACUUGACAUGUAUAGUAAAACCAAGUGAUAAAUCAAUAUCCCAUAAAACAUGAUUGGCUAUUGGUAAUUAUCUCCCGGCCUCUGCCUGCUCUCGUUCUCAUAUGGGAGCUGAAUAAAUUCCUGUUCUUUUCGAGAGGAAGGCCCUUUAUAAUCCACAGUUCUGAGGUUAACCUUGAUCCUAGCCCUCCCUUUCCCAUUUCUUACCAACUUUUUUUUUUUUUUCCGAGAUGAAGUUUCGCUCUUGUCGCCCAGGUUGGAGUGCAAUGGCGUGACCUUGGCUCACAGCAACCUCUACCUCCCUGGGUUCAAGUGAUUCUCCUGCCUCAGCCUUCCAAGUAGCUGGGAUUACAGGUGCCCCCUACCACACCAGGCUAAUUUUUGUGUUUUUAGUAGAGAUGGGGUUUCACCAUGUUGGCCAGGCUGGUCUUGAUCUCCUGACCUCAAGUAAUCCACCUGCCUUGGCCUUCCAAAGUGCUGGGAUUACAGGUGUGAGCCACUGCACCCGGCCUCCCAUCAACUUUCAAAUUUAAUUUCCAGAGGCUGUGCUCUCCUGCUCUGCCCAACGGUGUCAUUUCUUCCUCCCACUCCUGUCCCUUCCUGCACCUGAGGGUGGAGGAACAGGAGAGAGAUGGUGAGGGCAUUGUUUCUGGUCAGUUGAGCACAGUGUAGGUUUAUCUUUACUUUUGUGCUUUUCAUGACAAAACAGACUGACAAAAAUCCUGUUUUUCAUUAACCUUGCCUUAACACAAACCCAUCCUUUUUGCCACUGAAUUUUUGGGGUCAUGUUUAUCACUUACGUGUUAGGAAAGUGUUAUAGUGUAUCAUAGGGUAGAAACUACUGUUUCCUCCUGUUUUAUAGGUGAGUUAACUGAAACAAAGAGAUCUCAAGUAAUCAGUUCAAGGGUCCACAGCUGAUAGUGGCAUAACCAGAAUUCAAACCAGGCAGCCUGAUUCUACAGCUUGUAAGGUUGAGACUGAUACCGCAGAGAGGACAAAUUGCCCCUUGUCAUACCUCCCAGAGAUAACCUCUAAUUAUGCUCGUGUAUACAGAUGUCCCUGACUUAUGGUGGUUGGACUUAUGACUUUACGGUGGUGUGAAAGCCAUAUGCAUUCACUAUUUUCCUCAACUUAUGAUAGGGUUACCUCUGGAGAAGCCUAUCGUAAGUUGAAAAUAUCCCAAGUUGAAAACACACUUUUGACUUACAGAAAUUUUCAAUUUAAGAUGGCCUUAUCAAGUUGUAACCCCAUCCUACAUUUGGAGACAUGUUAUUCUCUUUUUAUUCCUAUACUUCAUUUUUUCACUGUUCUUCCCAACACACUUAUUUUUUGAUCAAGAGAUGACUUCUAUUUCUUGGCCCACUUAAUUUUCUCCCAAUCUAUGAGCAUCUUUCCUGUUCUAUUUCCUUUUCCUACACAGCCUAGAUUGCAUAUUUUAUCGUCUCUACCUUUCCCAGGUAUUAGUUUUUUUUGUUUGUUUGUUUUUUCAAGACAGAGUCUUGCUCUGUCGCCCAGGCUGGAGUACAGUGGUUUGAUCUUGGCUCACUGCAACCUCUGCCUUCUGGGUUCAAGUGAUUUUCCUGCCUCAGUCUCCCAAGUAGCUGGGAUUACGGGUGAGCACUACAACGCCCAGCUACUUUUUGUAUUUUUAGUACAGAUCAGAGUUUCACCAUGUUGGACAGACUGGUCUUGAACUCCUGACCUCAAAUGAUUCGUCCACUUCAGCCUCCCAAAGUGCUGGGAUUACAGGCAUGAGCCACCGCGCCUGGCCUCCCAGGCAUUAGUUUUUAAGCUAGCAUACCAAUUGCAGCUUAGGCUAGAUCAUAGUGUUGAAAACUUGAAAGCAUUCUCUGGUGCUAGCCUCUUUUUUUUUUUUUUUUUUUUUUUUUUUUGAGACGGAGUUUCACUCUUGUUACCCAGGCUGGAGUGCAAUGGCAUGAUCUCUGCUCACUGCAACCUCUGCCUCCCACGUUCAAGUGAUUCUCCUGCCUCAGCCUCCUGAGUAGCUGGGAUUACAGGUGCCCACCACCAAACCCGGUAGAGAUUUUAUUUGAGCCACCGCGCCCAGCCUCAAGCUAGAGUUUUAUAAAACCCGCCAUCAUCAGACUUUUGCCCAUAUCCAUAUAUCACCUAUAUUAUUAUUUACUAUUAUUUACCUAAUGUUUUCUUCUUUCAAUCAUCUCACAUGUUUAAAGUGAAUUUAUUUAACAAAAACCACCUUCCUAAUUGAACAUGGGCUAGACAGCAUGAGGGAAUUAUUAAUGUUAUUAUGUGUGAUAAUGGGUAAUGAUUUUGUGGAAGAAUAUUCUUGUUUUCUGGAAUUGCAUGUUGAAGUAUUUCAGGAGAAAAGUGUCACAAUGUCUGUAAUUUAGUUUUAAGUUUUUGGACAAAAAAUAAAUUAUAGAUGAGAUUGUAAAGAAUGGUUGAAUCUCUGUGGUGAGGAUACGGUUAUUCAUUGUACUAUUCUUUCUGUUUUUUAUUUUGAAAAUUUUAAGAUAAAAAAUAAAAAGCUUCUUUUUGCUAAUAUAAAUGGAAAUUUUCUAUCACUUGCUAUACGGAGAAGAUAACUCUAAAAAGAAACAUGCUGAAAAACAGUGUCUUCACAUUCUAGCUAGAUAAUAUUGCCUGAUCAAAGGCACUGCACCUAUUCUCUUUGCAAAUAAAAGGAAUUUUUUUUUUCUUCCCUGGCGCAGUGGCUCACGGCUGUAAUCUCAGCACUUUGGGAGGCCAAGGUGGGCGGAUCACUUGAGGUCAGGAGUUUGAGACUAGCAUGACCAACACGGUGAAACCCCGUCUCUACUAAAAAUACAAAAAUUAGCUGGGCCUGGUGGUGAGCACCUGUAAUCCCAGCUACUCGGGAGACUGAGGGAGGAGAAUCGCUUGAACUCGGAAGGCGCAGGUUGCAGUGAGCCCCAAGUGUGCCAUUGCACUCCAGCCUGGGUGGCAGAGUGAGACUUUAUCUGUUUUUUUGUUUUUUUUUUUUUGAUGGAGUCUUGCUCUGUCGCCCAGGCUGGAGUGCAGUGGCGUGAUCUUGGCUCACUGAAAAUCCACCUCCCGGGUUCAAGUGAUUCUUCUGCCUCAGCCUCCUGAGUAGCUGGGAUUACAGGCGCACGCCACCACACCCGACAAAUCUUUGUAUUUUCAGUAGAGACAGGGUUUCACCAUAUUGGCCAGGCUAGUCUCAAACUCCUGACUUCGUGAUCUGCCUGCCUUGGACUUCCAAAGUGCUGGGAUUACAGGCAUGAGCCACUGCACCCUGCCUAUACUUUAUAAUUUUUAGCCUUCAAUCCCUUCAUCCAAAUUCAGCCACAAAAACCUGAAGACAUUAGAUAACAGAUAAAGCUGGGCAUGGUGAUGAGCCUGUAGUCCCAGCUACUCUGGAGGCUGAGGCAGGAUGAUCCCCUGAGCCCAAGAGUUCAAGGCCAGCCUGGGCAACACAGCAAGACCUUGUCUCAAAACAGAACCAAACCAAACCAAAAAAAAAAAAAAAAAAAAACCCACAGAAGCCGGCUGUGGUGGCUCAUGCCUGUAAUCCCAACACUUUGGGAGGCUGAGGAGGAUGGAUCACUUGAGGACAGGAGUUGGAGACCAGCCUCGUCAAUGUGGUGAAAUCCUGUCUUUACAAAAAAUACAAAAAUUAGCCAGGCUUGGUGGUGUGCACCAGUAGUCCCAGCUACUCGGGAAGCUGAGGCAGGACAAUUGUUUGAGCCUGGGAUGCGGAGGUUGCAGUGAGCUGAGAUCACACCAUUGCACUCCAGCCUGGGCCACAACUUUCCCAUUUCCUAGCUUUGUUCUUUUUCCUUUGUCGUUUGCCAUGCCCUAGAAGGGAGUGGAUUUCCUGAGGAACUGAAUGAAGUCUCCAUCUCCUUUCCUCCUUUCCUCCUUACACUAUUGGCGGUUGCCAUCUGGAAACAAAUGGAGGAAAGUCAAACAGACAGUGAUUUCAAUGCCCAUCCGCUCCUCAAAUACUCCAUCGGAGGUUUUUCUUUGUCUCAUUAGUGGUAGGGUAUACAAUGUGGGCAAGUUAUAUUUUGUAAAAACACGUUCUUUUUAUUUUCCUUUUCCUUUUUUUUUUUUUUUUUUUGAGAUGCAGUUUCACUCUUGUUGAGUGAAACAAGGCUGGAGUGCAAUGGUGCCAUCUCGGCUCACUGCAACCUCUGCCUCCUGGGUUCAAGCAAUUCUCCUGCCUCAGCCUCCCGAGUAGCUGGGACUACAGGCUUGUGCCACCAUGUCCGGCUAAUUUUGUAUUUUUAGUAGAGAUGGGUUUUCACCAUGUUGGUCAGGCUGGUCUUGGGCUCCUGACCUCAGGUGAUCCACCCACCUUGACUUCCCAAAGUGCUGGGAUUACAGGUGUGAGCCACUGGGCCUGGCCACGUUCUUUCCUCUUUAUACUUAUUAACCCUUGAUGAUUAUAUGGUAAUGUUGCACCAAGUUAUAUCUUUGAUAUCUCUUUAUAUGAUACCUAAUCCCUGUAGUUAAAGUUAAUAAUUAUAUGAAGAAAUAGUCCCUCUGGGCAAGGUGGCUCAUGCCUGUAAUCUCAGCACUUUGGGAAGCUGAGGCAGGAGGAUCACUUGAGCUCAGGGCUUCAAGACCAGCUUGGGCAACAAAGUGAGACCCUUGUCUCUACAAAAAAAAUUAGCCAGGCAUGGUGGUGCGUGCCUGUGGUCCCAGCCACUUGGGAAGCUGAGGUGGGAGGACAGUUUAAGCCUGGGAGUUUGAGGCUGCAGUGAGCCAUGAUGGCACCACCGCACUCCAGCCUGGGUGACAGAGCGAGACCCUGUCUCAAAAAGAAAAGAAAAAAAAAUUCUUUAGGAGCUUGGUGACCCAUGUCUUGCAAAAGGGCACUGCUAUCAAGAUGACAAUUUUACACAAUCAGAUUCUGCCUGUACUUCCUCUCAUGCCAACCACCAAAAAUAGAAAACAAAAUAAUUGAGAUAAAGAACAUUAUCAUUCCUUAUUACAGUUAAUGGCUAGAAGGCUAUAGAACCAGCACAGGAGUGCACCCUGAAAUCCAGGCCUGUGGAAGAAAAGGUUAGUUUCUGUAAAUGAGGCUCAGAGAAUGGAUGGAAGUAGCUGUAACUCAUCCUCUUCAGUGAUUUGGAGAUAGCUUACUUUUAAAAUUAAAGUGCCAGGAAGCAACAACCCUAAAAUGUAGCUAAUGUCAGAUAAGAUGUAAUCUAGGAAAUUGUAAUAUGCCCAUCAUGAGGUAAUGUUGUAAUGGCAGUAGCUUUUGGUGGCUGAUAAGGAAUAUUGGAAAAGGUGCCGGAGUGAGAGAGUGAGUCUCCAGUUUCUCCAGCAGAGACCAGGGCAGGCAUACCCUGACUGUCCAGUUACAUGUUGUCUUCUGGUUGGCAGCUGGAUGGCUGCAUGGUGGAGGAUGGAGAAUCAGGCGCUCACAGCCAGAAGCUAUUCCCAGAGACCUUCUGGCUCCUUGUAAACUGGGCCUGUACUCUGCCAGCAGUGGGAUCAUCUUAAUAGGAUUUCCCAAGUUAAUUUUCCUGCUGGGAGCAGAAAGUACCCACCAGCUUGGAAGGCAGAAGCAGGUGUGAAAACAGGGUGGUCAGAAUCUUGACCCUGCCAAGUACAGAAUUUGGGGGCAGUUAGCUUCAGUCACCUCUCCCAAUAGGCUUCCUCAUUUGUAAAAUUCAAUGACAAUAUUUCCCCCAUGGGGUUUUUGCGAAAUACGCACCAGGUAAUGUAAUUGGAAAGCUCAGCGCCCCCCAACUCCACAUACCUGGGGAUUCCAGUCAUUCCGGCACUUUUCUUUUUCUAUGUUAAUGAACACAUUUGCACUCUGUUUUUGCUCAUUCAUUCUUUUUCUCCUCACUCAGAUCUGUUUAUGCAACAGAUGUUUAUAAAGUGAACGUGGGCCACCCCUGUAAUCCUAGCACUUUGGGAGGCUAAGAUAGGAGGAUCGCUUGAGCCCAGAAGUUCAAGACCAGCCUUGGCAACAUAGUGAGACCCCCAUCUCUACAAAAAAUACAAAAAUUAGCUGAGAGCGGUGGAACGCACCAGCAAUCCCAGCUACUCGGGAGGCUGAGGUGGGAGGCUUGAGCCUGGGAGGUCAAGGCUGCAGUGAGCCGGGAUUACUCAACUGCUCUCCAGCCUGGGUGGCAGAAUGAGACCCUGUCUCAAAAUAAAUAAAUAAAAAUAAAGAUAAUGUGAACCUGAAGUGAAUUUGUGUGGAGGGACUUGAACCCUUGGGGACAGCUCCCUUUCUGUAGGCGAGGAGCCACUGGGUAACUUGAGUCAAACUUGAGCAUACUCAAAUGAGAUGAAGGCCUUCGGUCACUGUGUCAGGGAUCAGAGGGUACAGCUUCCUCAGGCCUGACUUCCUUCUGGAAGCCUUUUUGAGCAUCUUGGCCCUUACUCUGUGAUUUUCCCAAACUCUGCACACUUCUGGCAGAGGCAGGUCAGGGUAGGGGUGGAGAGUGUGGAUUCUGGGGCCAGGGUGCCUGUGUUUGAAUUGUCGCCACUGACUGGCAGCCACUUCCUCAGCCCUGUCUGUAAAACAGGGAUAAUCACGUACCCUCCUCAUGGGGUUGUUAUAUAAAUGAGGUGAGUUUGUGUGUGGAGAGAUUAGAACCUUGCCUGAGCCAGGCAUGGUAGCAUGCACCUGUAGUCCCAGCUACUCCAGAGGCUGAGGCAGGAGGAUUGUUUGAGUCCAGGAGGUGAAGGCUGCACCGAGCUAUGAUCGUGCCACUGCACUCCAGCUUGGGCAAUGCAGUGAGACCCUGUCUCUUAAAAAAAAAAAAAAAGAAUUUUGCCUGGCACAUAGGAUAUGCUACAUAAUGUAAGAGUCAGUGACUGCUGGACCAUAUGAAAGUUUUGUUUUUGUAGGCAAAAAUGAUCUGAUACUGGCAGCUUCACUUGGUUGAACGUGGUAUUUACUGCACCGUGCUGCAACUCUUUGCUUCAGGAAGGCUCACCUCCCUGAACUGGGGUUGCUGGGAGAGUCUGCUGGCUCCGUGGCAGUGUCUGUGUGUUUCUGCCUUAUCCAAGUGACUUCUGUGAUUUUGACUUUGGCCCGUUUAGCUAUAGAGCAAGCAACGGUGUCAUCACUGUGUCACGCCCAGCAUAAUCUCACGCACAAGGUGGUGGUAGGAGCAAACAGGCUGGUUAAGGAGGCUCUGGAAGAUUCCGCUGCUGUGGGGGAGAAUGCCCUGGGUCAUUUAGCCAACAGGGAGGUUGGCCCUGGCAGGAAGCCAGGUCACCACGCCAGGCUGUCACUCGAGUACAUAAUCCCUGUUCUGUGCUCCCUGUCAGCUGCCUGAUGGCUGCUCACCAGGGGCAGACUCUUAUCUGGGAGCAGUCAUCCUGAUCUUGCAGUUUGUCACUUCAAGCCUCAUGACCAGAGUUGUGAAAAUGUCACUCUGAGUUGAAUAUCCAGUCCAGGCAUUCCUCUGGCUCAUUGCGCUGCAGUCCACGCCUAUACCUCUUGGGCCAGUCAAACUGAUGGACAGUCAUUUAAAAAAAAAAAAAGGAAAAAGGAAAAAAUAGAGUUUAUUUUAUGUAUUUAUUUGAAAUGGAGUCUCACUCUGUUCCCCAGGCCAGAGUGUAGUGGCGCGAUCUUGGCUCACUGCAGCCUCCGACUCCUGGGUUCCAGCAAUUCUACCACCAUUUAUUUAUUUAUUUAUUUAUUUGAGACGGAGUUUCACUCUUGUUGCCCAGGCUGGAGUGCAAUAGCGCUAUCUCAGCUCACCGCAACCGCCUCCUCCCGGGUUCAAGUGAUUCUCCUGCCUCAGCCUCCUGAAUAGCUGUGAUUACAGGCACAUGCCACCACGCCCGACUAAUUUUGUAUUUUUAGUAGAGACGGAGUUUCUCCAUGUUGGUCAGGGUGGUCUCGAACUCCCGACCUCAGGUGAUCCGCCUGCCUUGGCCUCCCAAAGUGUUGGGAUUACAGGCGUGAGCCACCGUGCCUGGCCUCUACCACCUUUUAAAGGAUGAUUUUAAUUUUAUUUUUAUUUUUAAUUUUUGGAGACAGUGUCUCACUCUGUUGCCCAGGCUGGAGUGCAGUGGCAUGAUCAUGGCUCACUGCAGCCUCGACCUGCUGGGCUCAAGAGAUUCUCUCACUUCAGCCUCCUAUGUGGCUGGGACCACAGGCAUGCAUCACUACACCUGGCUAAAUUUUAGUUUUACAUUUUUUUAUAGACAUGGGUUCUUGCUGUGUUGCCCAGGCUGGUCUCAAACUCCUAAGUUCAAACGAUCCACCCAACUUGGCUUCCCAAAGUGUUGGGAUUACAGGUGUGAUCCAUCAUGGCUGGCAAAAUAGAGUUUAAAUGGAAAACUUUUUGUUUUGCUCAAGGGAACACACACAGGAUAGGCCUUUACUUACAGACACUGAGGAACUGCCAGUCAUGACAUGAGCUUGUCAGGGCUAAGCAGAAGCCUGAUGCAGUAGUGCAGUGGGCUCUGCAUCUCCCCUUGGCACCCACAUAUUCAUCCCUAGAGAGCAAGAGCAUCUUAUUCAUCUUUUGCAUCUGCAGUGCCAGGUACUGUAUUUGAUGCAAAAUAUGUAAUUAAUAAAUAUUUAUUGACUGACCAAAGAGCAGGCACUCAGUAAAUACUUGUUGGUUGUCACUUGUGACCUCUGGCAUAAUUACCUUCUCCCUUGACCUGGACCCUGGCAAUUCUUGGGUGUGUGGCCAUGGGAACCGAAGGGUAGCUGGGUUGUACUUUCUCUCAAUCCAUGGGUCAACAUUCUCCAAGCAUGUGAUACUCAGAGACUUGACUUGGGGCUUCAUGUCCCCUCUCCUGAGGCCACGAUGGCAGGUCUACAGAGUUUAGAUCCUUGGCUGUCAGGAAGGUAGGGGACUAGGAAGAAUGAGAGAAGGGCCCAUCUCAGCCUGGCCUCCACUUGCUGAGGCCCUUCUCCUAACUUACUCUUUCCAAUUCCAUGUUUAUAAGGAAUGGAACCAUUCAUUCUUCCAGCAGGUGUUUAUUGAGCUGCUCAUAUGUGCCUGACUCUACACGGAAUUAAACAGAAAUGCCCUCUUUACUGGCUUAUGGCUGCCAAGCAUUCAUAGCAACCUUGCUUUCUGAUGCUUCGAUGUUGGCUCUUCCUAGUAUUAAAAAAAAAAAAAGGGAAAAGAAAAAAAGAAAAAAGAAGAAAGAAAGAAAUGCUCUCUGUUCUUAGAGCACUUAUAGCCUAGAAUGAAUGAACUUUGGUUUUGAGAAGUUAAAAGGGUCCAUAUAGAGUAAUGGGGACGGGGGUGGAGAGGUAGGGGAACAAAGCAAAUAAAAACUGUCCCCAACCACCCCCUACAAGGAGAAGAGCAGCACAUGCAUUAGUCAUUCUGUGCUUAUCAUCCUCAACUUCAAUAUUUCUAAACCUAUGUCUGUUUCUAUAUUUUAGCUCUGGUAGAUAUUUGAAAUAGUCAAUCUUUUUAGUUAAAAGCACUUUGUUUCCUUCUUUUCUUACAAAAGUAGAGAUGGUCAGGCACGGUGGCUCACGCCUAUAAUCCCAACAUUUUGUGGGACUGAGGCAGGCGGAUCACUUGAGGUCAGGAGUUCGAGACCAGCCUGGCCAACAAGGUGAAACCCUGUCUCUACUAACAAUACAAAAAUUAGCCAGACGUGGUGGUGGGCACCUGUAACUCCAGCUACUCAGAAGGCUGAGGCAGGAGAAUCGCUUGAACCUAGGAGGCAGAGGUUGCAGUGAGCCAAGGUCACGCCACUGCACUCCAGCCUAGGUGACAGAGUAAGACUCCAUCUUAAAAAAAAAAAUAGUAGAGACAAUGUUUUGCUAUGUUUGCCUAAGCUGGUCUUGAACUCCUGAGCUCAAGCAAUCUGCCCACGUGGGCCUCCCAAAGUGCUGGGAUUAUAGGCCUGAGCCACGGCAUUCAACUUGAAAGUGAUAUAGGAGUUAAGAAGAAAUUACUUAGGCAGUUAGUGAAGGUACAGGAGUCCUCGGUAAGGUUUCCCUUUUUAAUGAAAAGCAGCCCCCAAAUCAUUUUCUAACAAACAGCAACCUAUAAAAUCGAGCUGCAGACAUAGAUGCCGGCAGGUGUACCAAUCAUGUUCAAAAUGAUGGCCCCAGCUUCCCUUCUGUCUCUGCCAGCCUUGUGUACAGUAAGGAGCAAACAAGAUGGUGCCGGUCGUGUGGAAAGUUCAUUCGCAUAAUAAGAUUAGGGUGGGGCGGCCAGCCUUCCCUGCACUAUGUAAACGUUACACCUGAUCGAACCUAUCUGUGGGCCCUAAGUAAAUCAGAUACCGCCUCCUCAAGCCUGCCUAUAAAAUCCGGGGCAUCUACCACCAGCUGGUCUUUCCCUUUCAGAAGCUCAUCUCUUUCACUAGAGAGAGAGCUGUUCUCCUUUCUCUUUACUUUGCCUAUUAAACCUCCACUCCUAAACUCCUCAAAUGUGUCCAUGUGCUAAAUUUUCUUGGUGUGAGAUGAUGAACCCUGGGUAUUUACCCCACACAAAGAAGCCACUUCAAAAGAACUUUGGGCGGGGUGCAGUGGCUCAUACCUGUAAUCCCAGCACUUUGUGGGGCCGAGGUGGGCGGAACGUCUGAGGUCUAGAGUUUGCGACCAACCUGGCCAAUAUGGUGAAACCCCGUCUCUACUAAAAAUACAAAAAAUUAGCUGGGCGCAUUGGCAGGUGACUGUAGUCCCAGCUACUGGGGAGGCUGAGCAGAAUCGCUUGAACCUGGGAGGUGGAGGUUGCAGUGAGCCAAGAUCGUGCCACUGGACUUUGGAGGAUAUUUACCCCCCUACCAAAAUUCAUACAUUGAACCUCUAGCCCUCAAUGUGGCUGUGUUUGGAGAUAGCGCCUUUAGGGAGGUAGUUAAGGUUAAAUGAGGUCACAAGGGUGUGUUCUUAAUCCUAUAAGACUGAUUGGUGUCCUUGUAAGAAGAGGAAGAGAUGGGUGCAGUGGCGUACGCCUGUAAUCCCAGCACUUUGAAAGGCCGGAGUGGGGAGGCUAGCUUGAGCCCAGGAGGUGGAGAACAGCCUGAACAACAUAGCAAGAUCUCCAUCUUUACAAAAAAUUAGGAAGAAAAAUUAACCCGGUUAAUUUUUCUCCCAGCUACUUGGGAGACUGAUUGAAGUGAGAGGAUCACUAGAGUUUAGGAGGUCGAGGCAGCAGUGAGCUAUGAUUUUGCCAUUGCACUCCAGCCUGUGUGACAGAGACCUUGUCUCUAAAACAAAAAGAAGAGGCAGGGACACCAGGAAUUCCUGUGCACAGAGGAAGGGCCACAUGAGGACGUAGAGAAGAGGCCCCCAUCUUGCAAGCUAGGAAGAGGAGAGCUGAAAGAAAAUACAUUUCUGCUGUUUACACCACCCAUGCUGUGGCACGUUCUUAUGGGAACCAGAGCUGACUAAUAAAAAAUAGUUUUAAUUUUUCCUUCAGUGAAGAUUCAGAAAUAAAUAAAUUCAUAGGAUGUCUUCUUCUCUCCCAAAUUCGUUGCGUUUCAAUAGGUAUUUAUUAAUAUCUUUAAGGCCACUCGCUCAGUUUAAGUAUUCAAGUAGCAGAUGCAACUCGAAACCUUCCUAAGAAAUGCUAACAUUUUCCCCUGGUUUCCCCAAUCUCUGAGUCUUUCAUAACAAAUAUGUUUGGAAAUAAAGAUGCAAUUCCUGCAUCUUAUAUGUAUUUUCAGUGGUAAUUCAUGCUGAUCUAAUGCAUGAGCACAGAUUUUAUUUAUCCACCGUGCUAUGGGAUCAGGGACGGACACAGGGCAGUUCUAGGUGAAUAAUGCCCCGGUACUCAAAUAGCAUCUGUUCCCCAAAGUCAGGCAGCCCAACCCUGCUGCAGGAAUUGAGGGGGCUCCCACACACUGCCUGGUUCUGACUAGCUUCUCUUAAUUUAGUUCUCAUAGGUAUUGAUACAUAUUUAUAUAAUACUAUGUAUAUUCAAUCAGUUAUUUUUGAAUGGAAUUAUGUAAAUGUGUGCUCACUCAUAGUAUAAAAAUGAUGCUGCCGCAAAUGUCUCUGCCUCUACACCCCUUCUAAGGAACAGGAAGCCACGAGGUAUCUGUAGAAUCACAGCUUUCAUUUGUUGCUGGGGGAAAAUAUUUAUAAGCAGAGAUGUAGAAUUUCAUUUGUUUUGACACAUUGUGGGAGGUGUUCUCAGAAAGGUGUUUUGGAAAAGUGUAAUGUCAUCUCCCAUGGAUCUUAUUUUGGGAUCCCCAGAAUGUGCAGGGAAAAUGAACAGACUGUCUUUAACGACCUCUUUAACGGCUGGUGGCGCUUCCCUUGCUGCACAGAAAAUGUUCAAUCGUGUUCUUUUUCUCUCCCCUCUCACUUUUCCUUAUCUUACUUCUUUUCAUCUCCCCUCCUCUUUCUUCUUCUUCUCCUUUUCUUCUCUUUUGAACACUUUUUGACUUUUCUUUUGUAAAAUAAAAUAAUCAAACUAGGUGAGUUGUUGGCCAAGUUCAAGGGCAAAUGUGUAGUUGACAUGAGAAAGCCACCUGUUUAAUGAUAACUGUUGGGGAAAACUGCCUCUCACUAGGUAACCUACAAAGUAGGAGAAACAACGACAAUGACAAAUGGAAGCACGCGUCUGCACAACUUUCCACUGAACUUUUAGGGAAGAUUGUGUUCCUUCUGCUGGCCUGGCUGCCCUAUUCAGGCUGAUGAGUAGAGCCUUGGCUGAUUUAACCUAGCAUGGGGAUAAACAACUUAAACAGGAGAAAGGAGUAGCUCCAGGACAAGUCCUGGGGCAGAGAACUGGGAGUGAAACCACCUCUGCAAAAUUAUGGCUGAGACAGUGAAAGAGAUCUAACUUAAUUGAUUCCAUCUUGCUUCUAACCUCCAAGCUUUCCAUGUUCAUUCCUGGGUGUAGGCUGAACUAACUUUGGGAGAAACUUAGUUUAUAGUUUAUAGUGUUUUUUUGGUUUUUUUGUUUGUUUGUUCGAGACAGAGUCUCACUCUAUCGCCCAGGCUGGAGUGCAGUGGUGUGAUCUCGGCUCACUGCAACCUCGGUCUCCCGGGUUCAAGCGAUUCUCCUGCCUCGGCCUCUCGGGUAGCUGAGACUACAGGCGACCGCCACCAUGCCUGGCUAACUUUUGUAUUUUUAGUGGAGAUGGGGUUUCGCCAUGUUGACCAGGCUGGUCUCGAACUCCUUGACCUCAGGUGAUCCACUGCCUUGACCUCCCAAAUUGUUGGGAUUACAGGCAUGAGCCACCCCACCCAGCCUAUAGUUUAUAGUUUAAAACAAAGAAGAAAACAACCCUUUCCCAAAGUAGACCUCCUUCUUGCCUGGGGACUAGAUUGCCUUUGUAGGGCCAACAUUAGCCAAAAGAUUAGAAAUUAUAGUUUAGGAGUCACGCAGCUAGAGAUUACAAGAUCCUGACCCUCCCUAAACUGCUGCUAAGAUCAGUGCUUGAGAUAUUUUGCAGAUCCUGCACUUGAUGGAUCAGCUGGCCCCACCCAGAUCAAUAAACUGGCCCAUCUGAUCUUGUGGCCCCCUCCCAGGAACCAACAGUGCAAGAGGACAACUUCAAUUCCCUCUGAUUCCAUCUCUGACCAAUCAGCACUCUUGGCUCACUGGCUUCCCCCAACUCACCAAGUUGUCCUUAAAAUGCUCGGGGAGACUGAUUUGAGUAAUAAUAAAACUCCAGUCUCCUGCACAGCUGGCUCUGCAUGAAUUACUCUUUCUCUAUUGCAAUUCCCGUGUCUUGAUAAAUUGGCUCUGUCUAGGCAGUGGGCAAGGUGAAUCCAUUGGGCAGUUACAGGAGGGAAGGAGAAUGAUAAUUUAUUUUAUUUUAUUUUUAUUUAUUUAUUUAUUUUUUGAGACAAGGUCUUGCUCUGUUGCCAUGGCUGGAAUGCAGUGGCACAAUUAUAGCUUCCUGUAGCCUCAACCUCCCAGGCUCAAGUGAUCCUCCCCCUUCAGCCUCCUGAGUAGCUGGGACCACAGGUGUGUGCUGCCACACCCAGCUAAUGUUUUAAAUUUUUUGUAAAGACGGUGGUCUCACCAUGUUGCCCAGGCUGGUCUCCAAUGCCUGAGCUCAAGUGAUCUGCCUGCUUUGACCUCCUGAAGUGCUGAGAUUACAGGCGUGAGCCACCACGCAUGGCGCAAAUGAGGGUUUGGGUGGGCUUUGCUUUAUUUCUCUUCAAUGUUUUCUUUUCUUUUUUAAGGAAUUCGGGAGGUCAGACUGGAAUUUCUCCUGAUGAAUACUGUGUUUAGAUACUUGGUGGAAAUGUGAAAGGUUUUUUUCCCCUCAAUUCAGCUAUGGUGUCUUACGCUAUGCAAAAUAAAUGUAAAUAUCCGUGAUAGGGUGCCUUGGUCAAUAAAGGGCCUCAAGAUUUUUUUUUUGUUGUUGUUGUUGAGACGGAGUCUCACUCUGUUGCCCAGGCUGGAGUGCAGUGUCGCGAUCUCAGCUCACUGCAAGCUCCGCCUCCCGGAUUCACGCCAUUCUCCUGCCUCAGCCUCCCGAGUAGCUGGGACUACAGGCGCCUGCCACCACGCCUGGCGAAUUUUUUUUUUUGCAUUUUUAGUAGAGACAGGGUUUCACCGUGUUAGCCAGGAUGGUCUCGAUCUCCUGACCUCAUGAUCUGCCCGCCUCGGCCUCCCAAAGUGCUGGGAUUACAGGCGUGAGCCACCGCGCCCGGCCAGCCUCAAGAUUUUUCAAGCCUCUGUGGUUAUAGAUGGAUUCAGACUUCCACUGAAGUGGUGACAACAGUGUAUUUUUGCUGCAGGGAGGUCCCAUGGUUCUGACUCCCUCAAUAUUGGAUCUCACAGACCUGCAAAUGUAAAGGUAAAGCAAAGAGAUUUGGGCUAUGUGGAAGUUGGAGGCAUGUGGCUCAACUUCUCUACACACGAAUUGAACAAGACUGUCUUCUUGGUGGGCAGAGUUGCAUGUUUGAGAUUCAGUUUCCAUUUAAAGCAAAACAAAACAAAUCAGGACCCUUUUUUUUUUUUUUCUUCUCUGGGGGCCUCAAAUGAUAUGAGGCCUGGAGCCUUCGUGGUUUCUUUUUUAGAGAGGCAGUCCCUGAAACAGAAUGGUGAGCCAAGACUCUGAAACAUGUUCAGAAUUUUCUGGGCUCAGCUUCUUUGGUUAUCCCCAAGCCUUCCAAAGGCCACAUGAUGAAUGUGAAGGCCUGGCCUCAGGCAGCACUGUGUGGGAAGGAGGGCAGGCUUGGCCCACUCUUGGGGCUGGUGGAGGUGGCCACAGUGGAGAAUAGAAGCUGGUCUGAAGAUGCCUAUCGAGGGUCUGAAGGGCAAUGGGCUUGAGCCAGAUGCUGGUUUGUGGCAAGUGACAACCAAGGCAGAUUUAUAGAGCUUCUCUGCACUCUCCAGGGUUCCUAGAUGCUGGGAGAGGGGAACUUGGUAAAUAAUUGGACCUUGCAUGGCCAAACAAGUUAGUUGGGUAUGUGAAAGGAAGGUAACAUCUUGGGACCCCAAACUCACUAUGCCAAAGGGAAAGUUAAGCUUGGGAACUGAGUCAUGCAAAAAAUCACCUUCCUUUUUGUUCCCAAACAGUUAUCUAGCUGCAAUGAUAGAAGGCCACCUAUCCCGCUGACGAGGACUUCCUCACAAAUUGCUCACAAGGAAAUUCCUUGUGGACACCCAAAUCUCUCAGAAUGCAUAUUCCCUCUAUAAACUAACCCUAAAACAGAGUUCUGUUGAAUCUCACCCUGACAAUGUAAAUAAAUUAAUAGCCUAUCUUCACAGGUACGGGACAAAAACAAGACUAGAAACCAUCCCUCCACCUAUCCUGAGACAAAUGCAUAUUUUACUUCUUCCUCUACUCUAUGCUUAUUUUGUUAUUUAUUAUUUGUUUUGAAACAAGGUCUCACUCUGUUGCCCAGGCUGGAGUGCAGUGGUGUGAUCAUGGCUUACUGCAGCCUUAACCUCCUGGCUCAAGUGAUCCUCCCAUCUCAGCCUCCCAAGUAGCUGGACUAUAGGUGUGUGCACUACACCUGGCUAAUUUUUUUUUUUUUUGUAGACUCAGGGUUUUGCCAUGUUGCCCAGGCUGGUAUGCUUACUUUAUCUUAUGUAAAAUGAAGCAUGACAUGAAUGCAUAGUUGACUCUCCUCACUCUUCUUUUUUUUCACAUGUAAAAUGUGGAUUUCGAGAGCACCAAUCAAAGCCUCACAAGAUGUAACCACCUCACCUCCUACCCUCCCCACUUUCUUUUUUCCCCUUUCUUUUCCUCCUUCCCCUCCUGUCCACUCUUUCCCCUUUAAAUACUGAAGUUCUAAAAACUCUUUCUGGAAAAAGCACAGGCCUCUCAUCCUACCGUAACUUGCCUCUUUUCCCCAGGCACGUCCUCAACCUUGGCAAAAUAAACCUCUAAAUGGACUGAGAUCUGUCUCAGACACUUUUUGGUUUAUAGGCAGUAGAGGGAAGUGGCAUCCCCAAGGACGGAGAAAUCUGAGACCUCUUGGUUAUGAGAAUGAUUAUCAGAGUAACAAGACUUCCCAUCUAAUAAAUGCUUACUAUGUCUCUGGUACUUAAUUGUAUCCAAAUUAACUCAUUGAAUCCUCACAACCACAUUGUGAGGUAUCAUUCCCACUUUAGAGAUGAGAACACUGAAGGUCAGAGAGAUUGGGUAAAUUGCUCAAGGUCAUGCAGACAGGAAACACUGGAGCCAGAAUCUGGACUCCACCGGUUUGAUUCUGGAGCCCACACUCUUGGCCAUACCACCAUGACCACCAGCCCAGGGGGUACAGGAGCCCCAGGGAACCAGCACUCACUGAGAGCAGGAAUCACAUCUGCUGGCAUCUUGCCUUUGAUUCUUGCACAGUUCCAAGCACACAGGAGGUGCUUAAUACAUGUUUGUCAACUCUAUCCCUUUGCUUAGGGGGGUUUAUAUUCUUGUUAGAGGGAAAAUACUAUUACGCCUGAGAGAGAAAACAAUUUAGAACAAAAUACCCAAUGCCAAAAACCAUGGGGGGUGAUAAGGCAGGAAAACACAAUCAUUUAGCAGACUGGAUACUGUUAGCGCCUUCUCUUCCAGUGAGGAAACCAUCAAAAAUCAAAUUAAGAUCGGAAGGUUGCUUGAUGAGUUUAGAACCCUGGGCAAAGGAAACUGGAUUUCCUAGAGGGUAUAUUUUUAUCACACGGUGGCUGUCCCCGUGAAACAUCCUCCUUCAGUGAGGAGUAUGUUUGCCCAGUGGACUGGAUGUUUACAUUGGCCAGCCAUGUUCUGCUCUGGUCAGUGCUGGAAAACACCCAGUGUUUUGCCCUCCAGCUUUCCAGACUCCAUGGAAACUCCCCGCUCUCUGUUUGCACUUGUCAUUACAGCAUCCCUUCCCUGGCUUCCACACUCUCCUCACAUUACAAUUUCCAUGUGUCCGGUUUAUUUUACAUGGGUUAGAGUGCCUGCUCCUCAGGACCGUGGGGCCACUUGUCACCUGAUCACAUUUUAGGGUUGCCUCCUCCAGUGAAUGGGUACUUGUUAGCCUUAAGGAGCUAGCCCAUCUGUGCCUGCAUUUUUGCCUUUUCCUAGAGCUCAUAUUAGGGCCUUUCUUUGAAACUUUGGCUGUCUGAAUAGCUUAAGGUGCAUUCCUCCUAUUUACCUGUUUAUCUAUCUUUCUCUCUUUUUUUUUUUUUUUUUUUUUUUUGAGACAGGUUCUCACUCUGUCACCCAGGCUGGAACAUAGUGGUGUGAUCAUAAUUCACUGCAGCCUCAAAUUUCUGGGCUCAAGUGAUCCUCCUGCAUCAGCCUCCCAAGUAACUGGGACUACAGGCAUGUGCCACCACACUCAGCUAAUUUUUAAUUUUUUGCAGAGACGGAGUCUCACUAUAUUGCCCAGGCUGGUCUGGAACUCCUGGGCUCCAGCAAUCCUCCUGCCUUGGCCACCCAAAGUUCUGGGAUUACAGGUGUGAGCCACCACACCCGGCCUUAUCUGUCUAUCUUUCUAUCUAAUAUAUAUAUAUAAUAUAUAUAUAUAAUUAAACUUUUUAUUUUGAGAUUAUAGAGUCACAUGAAGCUGUAAGAAAUAAGACAGAGAAAUCUCCUAUACCUUUUGCCUAGUUUCCCUUAAUAGUAUACCCUGCAAAACUAUACUAAAAUAUGAUAACCAUGAUAUCAACAUUAAAACAGUCAAGAAAGAAAACAUUUAUAUCUCCAGAAGAUCCUUCCUGUUGCCUUUUUAUAACCUCCGCCUCCCAGGUUCAAAUGAUUCUCCUGCCUCAGCCUCCUGAGUAGCUGGGAUUACUGGUGCUCGCCACCACACCCAGCUAAUUUUUGUGUUUUUAGUAGAGACAGGGUUUCACCAUGUUGGCCAGGCUGGUCUUGAACUCCUGACCUCAUGACCCACCCGCCUCUCUUGCCCUUAUGUCUUCUUUAACCUGCUUCUCUCUUGUCCUUAUGUCUUCUUUAACCACUGGCAACCACUAAUCUGUUCUCCAUCUCUAUAAUUUUGUCAUUUCAAGAAUGUUAUGUCAAUGAAAUCAUACAGUAUGUAAUCUUUUGGGAUUGACUUUUGUCACCCAGCAUCUCUGGAGAUCCAUCCAGGGUGUUGACUGUAGUGAUAGUUCAUUAUUUCUGUUGCUGAGUGAUGUUCCAUAAUGUGGAUCUAGCAAAGCUGUUUUAUAACCACUUACUUAUCAAAGGACAUCCGGGUUGUUUCCAGUUUUUGGCUAUUACAAGGAAAGCUGCUAUAAACAUUCAUGGAAAGUUUUUGUGUGAGCAGAAAUCCUAAAUCAUCUGGGAUAAAUUAGCAGGAGUGCAACUGCUGGGCCUUAGAGUAAGCGCGUAUUUAGUUUUUUGGGGUUUUUUUUUUUUGAGGCAGACUCUCACUCUGUUACCCAGCCUGGAGUGCGGUGGCAUGAUCUUGGCUCACUCCAACCUACGCCUCCCGGGUUCAAGUGAUUCUCCUGCCUCAGCCUCUCAAGUAGCUGGGACUACAGGCAUGAGCCACCAUGCCUGGCUAAUUUUUAUAUUUUUAGUAGAGACGAGGUUUCACUCUGUUGUCCAGGCUGGUCUCAAACUCCUGACCUGGUGAUCCGCCCACCUUGGCCUCCCAAAGUGCUGUGAUUAUAGGCGUGAGCCACCAUGCCCAGCCAUGUGUGUAUUUAGUUUUUAAAGAAACUAUCAAACUGCCAGAGGAUCACUUGAGCUCAGGAGUUCAAGAGCAGCCUGAUCAACAUAGGGAGACCACGUUUCUACUAAACAACAAAAUAAAAAUACAAAUUAGCUGGGCAUAGUGACACAUACCUGUAGUCCCAACUAGUCAGGAGACUGAUGUGGGAGGAUCAUUUAAGCAUGGGAGAUCAAGACUGCAGUGAGCUAUGAUCACGUCAUUGCACUCCAGCAUGGGUGACAGAGCAAGACCCUGUCCCCACUACCCCCACAAAGAAAGAAACUGUUUUUUUGUUUGUUUGUUUGUUUUCCGGAGUCUCACCCUGGCUGGAUUGCAACGGCAGAAUCUCGGCUCACUGCAACCUCUGCCUCCCAGGUUCAAAUGAUUCUCCUGCCUCAGCCUCCUGAGUAGCUGGGAUUACUGGUGCUCGCCACCACACCCAGCUAAUUUUUGUGUUUUUAGUAGAGACGGGGUUUCACCAUGUUGGUCAGGCUGGUCUCGAACUCCUGACCUCGUGAUCCACCCGCCUCAGCCUCCCAAAGUGCUGGGAUUACAGGCAUGAGCCACCAUGCCCGGCCCAGAAAGAAACUGUUAAACUGUUUUCCAGAGUGGCUGUACCAUUUUUACAUUCUCACCAGCGAUAUAUCAGUGAUUCGAUUUCUCCAUAUCCUCAUGAGAAUUUAGUAGAGAUGGGGUUUCACCAUGUUGACCAGGCUGGUCUCGAACUCCUGACCUCAAGUGAUCCACCCGCCUCGGCCUCCCAAAGUGCUGGGAUUACAGGCGUGAGCCACCAUGCCUGGCUUGUGAUUAAUUACUUUUAUUUUUAUUUAUUUAUUUUUUUUGAGACACAGUCUCGCUCUGUCGCCCAGGCUGGAGUGCCCUGGCGCAAUCUCAGCUUACUGCAAGCUCCGCCUCCUGGGUUUACGCCAUUCUCCUGCCUCGGCCUCCCGAGUAGCUGGGACUACAGGCGCCCGCCACCACACCUGGCUAAUUGUUUGUACUUUUAGUAGAGACGGGGUUUCACCGUGUUAGCCAGGAUGGUCUCGAUCUCCUGACUUUGUGAUCUGACCGCCUCGGCCUCCCAAAGUGCUGGGAUUACAGGCGUGAGCCACCGCGCCCGGCCGAUUAAUUACUUUUAAAGAACGAAACCCAAGCCUCCUCAGUGAAGCACACUAUGAAGUCCUGUCUACAAAAUACAAAAUUCCCUUCACAAUUUUGGGAUGGAACUUCUUCUUUUUAUUUAUUUAUUUAUUUAUUUUUUGAGACAGAGUCUCUCUCUGUCGCCAGGCUGGAGUGCAGUGGCUCAAUCUCGGCUUACCGCAACCUCUGCCUCCUGGGUUUAAGUGAUUCUCCUGCUUCAGCCUCCUGAGGAGCUGGGACUACAGGCGCGAGCCACCAUGCCCAGCUAAUUUCUGUAUUUUUAGUAAAGACGGGGUUUCACCAUUUUGGCCAGGAUGGUUUCGAUCUUUUUACCUCGUGAUCCGCCCGCCUCAGCCUCCCGAAGUGCUGGGGUUACAGAUGUGAGACACCACAGCUGGCCUGGGAUGGAACUUCUUAGUCAAAGUUUCAUGUUCCUUUAGCACCUUCUCUGUUUGCUUAGUAAUAGGGUAGACAUGCAAGAAAUAUCUGUGUGUGGCAAGUUUAAGACCAAGGUGUGAAUGUUAGCAAGACUGCCUCCCUGACUGACACAGCCAUCUCUGUGUCAGGUUGCCUGGGGUCUAUUACCUACUCUGUGUGUGAACUUAGCAAUUUCUUUACCCCUCUAGGACUUGUCCUUAAAAAGGGGGCUGAUGACCGGACAGCUACUUACCUUCUAACGUUGCUAGGAACAGAGUAAGGGACUAAGAGUUCCUAGUUGCUAUUGUUGUAGUUGUUCUGACAAAGUGAAGGAAAUGGCUUUCUUUCUUUCUUUCUUUCUUUUUUUUUUUUUUUUUUGAGACAGAGUUUCGCUCUUACUGCCCAGGCUGGAGUGCAGUGGCGUGUUCUCGGUUCACUGCAACCUCCACCUCCCGGGUUCAAGCAAUUCCCCUGCCUCAGCCUCCGGAGUAGCUGGGAUUGCAGGCGCCCGCCACCACGCCUGGCUAAUUUUGUAUUUUUAGUAGAGACGGGGUUUCGCCAUGUUGGUCAGGCUGGUCUCGAGCUCCUGACCUCAGGUGAUCCACCCGCCUUGGCCUCCCAAAGUGCUGGGAUUACAGGCAUGAGCCACUGCGCCCGGCAGGAAAUGGCUUUCUUUAAUUGGUCCCACUUUAGACAGAGGAAGAGAGAGUCACUAUGUUACUCUCUUUAAAUGCAAGAUUUCUCUACAUCAGCAUUAGUAACAUUCGGGGCCCCAUAAUUCUUUUUUUUUUUUUUUUUUUUUUUUUUUUUUUGAGACAGAAUCUCGCUCUGUCGCCCAGGCUGGAGUGCACUGAUGUGAUCUUGGGUCACUGCAACCUCCGCCUCCCGGCUUCAAGAGAUUCUCCUACCUCAGCCUCCCGAGUAGCUGGGAUUACAGGCAUGCACCACUACGCUCGGCUAAUUUUUGUAGUUUUAGUAGAGAGGAGGUUUUGCCAUGUUGGCCAGGCUGGUCUCAAACUCCUGACCUCAAGUGACCCGCCCGCCUCGGCCUCCCAAAGUGCUGGGAUUACAGGCGUGAGCCACCGCGCCCGGCCUGGGGGCCCCAUAAUUCUUUGUAGCGGGGGGGCUAUCCUGUUCAUUGCAGAAUGUUUAGUGGCAUGGGUGGCCUCCAUUUCCCACCUGCAGUGCUGCCUUCCACCCCCAGCUGUGACAAUCAAAAAUAUCUCCAGACAUUGCCAAAUGUCCCCUGGGGGUAAAAACUGCCCCACUGGCCUCUAGUUAUGUAAACUGUUCACAUUUCUUUGAAAUUAAUACAUGCUUGUGGGGAAAGUUUGGAAAAUCGUUGUAAUAGAGGUAGAGGUAAAAAUACUAUUUUAAACCAUGGCAGCUGCUUCCCCUCAGGGAGUGGCAGAAUUCCUCUCCGGAGUAAGUAGCCUUGUGUUGGGUAAAAUACCUUGACUGGCUACUUCACUGGUGAAAUGCAAAGGGGAGGUCCUUCCCCAGGCCUGGUGGAUGGAGGCUCUGAAACACUCUGCAUUACAAAUGAAGAAGAAUUCGUGGGCGGUGAUGGAGGAAGGAGGGGAGAGGUGAGGAAAAGGAGGGGUGAGAGGGAGAGGGAGGGGGCCGGCCGCAGGGUGACGGGUGGCAGCCUGGGGCUGUGCAGAUGUGGGUGGCUGAGAAGGGCACUAGGGUGGGGGUGGCUGGAGGAAUUUUAAGUGCUGUGAUGAAAUGGGCACCCUUCUCUGCCCUCCAUCGCCAAGCCCUACACCUCUGCGAAGACUGUGACACAUAAAGUCCUGUGUCAACGGUUGGUAAGAAAUCGGGAAAGCGCAGGGAAAAGAUCAGCUGAGGGAGGCGAGGAGUCCGUGGGACUGAGGGUGGAACGGGGGACAGGAAAUGAGAGCCUCAGAUGGUGAAGCCCAAGCCCUCUGGAAUUCAUGGUGGCUUCGGGGAGGAUCCUAGACUUCAUUCUGGAGGUGGGAGAGGGGGUCCGAGUGAAAUUUAUGUCACUCUUAAAGGAGGCAAUGAUUUAGGCUGCCAAUUCUGUACAGGAAAGAAACCCAUUUACAGUAUUUCCUUCCAUUAUUAUUUUCCAUGCAUAUUUUUAAUGCAGUUAAUCUUGCGUGUAUGGCCAUUUUUUUUUUUUUUGUCCGCUGUGUCAGUCCCCUGAGGGAGCGGGAGAUAUUUUCGGUCGUUGCCAAUGUCACCAUCUUGUGCAGUGCCAGGUAGAGACAAAGUCGCUGGAAUUGCAGCCGCCUGGUACCUCUGGAGCAUCUGGGUCCCUGGAGGGCAGAGCUGUCUUGAACUGCUUGCAAAGGAGUGAGGGAAAGUGUGUGUGUGUGUUGUGUGUGUGUGUGUGUGUGUGUGUGUGUGGCAGGCACAUGGGAAUGGGCGGGAAAGUGGAUAAUGUAACUUCUCCUACCUUCAUUAUUUUAUUAUUAUUAUUUUUAUUUUUUUGAGACUUAGUUUCACUCUUAUUGCCCAGGCUGGAGUACAAUGGCAUGCUCUUGGUUCACUGCAACCUCCGCCUCCCAGGUUCAAGUGAUUCUCCUGCCUCAGCCUCCCGAGUAGCUGGGAUUACAGGUGCCCACCACCAUGCAUGCCUAAUUUUUAAAAAAUAUAUUUUUAGUAGAGACUGGGUUUCACCAUGUUGGCCAGGCUGGUUUUGAACUCCUGAACUCUGAUUCAUCUGCCUCGGCCUCCCAAAGUGCUGGCAUUACAGGCGUGAGCCACCACGCUCGGCCAUUCUCCUACUUUUAUGAUAAUCUCCGCAAACAGGGCUCUCAACGUCUCUCAGAGAUUUAGUAAACAGGCCUUUUGGUUUUUUACUCUGCCUUUUCUGCUUUAACUUAGACUAGAAUCCUUGCAAUUUAGGUCCAAGGGUUAUCUGCAGGUAGGGGACCAUGAGAUUUUGCCCUAAGAUGAAGCUCUCUCUUAGGAUUAGUUCUCUCCCAGGGGACUCUGCCAAGUCUCCUGCAACUCAUUUGCAGGGCUGCCUCCCAGGCCCUCCAGAUGGAUUGAAUCCUAGGAAGAACACAGGGGAAAUGCAGGGUUACGUUCAAGCCACAAUGUUACCAGAAAGGGGUCCUUAUUCAGACCCCAAGAGAGGGUUCUUUUACCUCACACAAGAAAGAAUCCGGGGAGUAUCCAUAGAGUAAUGUGAAAGCAAGCUUAUUAGGAAAGUAAAGGAAUAAAAGAAUGGCUACUGCAUUGGCAGAGCAGGGGCGUGGGCUGCUCAACUGAGUAUACUUAUGGUUAUUUCUUAAUUGUAUGCUAAAAAAGGGGUGGAUUAUUCAUGAGGUUUCCAGGAAAGGGUUAGGCAAUUCCCGGAGCUGAGGGUUCCUCCCCUUUUUAGACCAUAUAGGAUAAUUUCCUGAUGUUACCAUGGCCUUGGUAAACUGUCAUGGCGCUGGUGGGAGUGUCUUUUAGCGUGCUAAUAAUUUACCUUAUAAUUAGCAUAUAAUGAGUAGUGAGGAUGACCAGAGGUCACUUUCGUCGCCAUCUUGGUUUGGGUAGGUUUUGGCCAGCUUCUUUACCGUGACCUGUUUUAUCAGCAAAGUCUUUAUAACCUAUAUCUUGUGCCGACCUCCUGUCUCAUCCUGUGACUAAGAAUGCCUAACUUCGGCUGGACACAGUGGCUCAUGCCUGUAAUCCCAGCACUUUGGGAGGCUGAGGUGGGCAGAUCACCUGAGGUCAGGAGUUUGAGACCAGCCUGACCAACAUGGUGAAAACCCGUCUCUACUGAAAAUCCAAAAUUAGCUGGGCAUGGUGGUUCAUGCCUGUAAUCCCAGCUACUUGGGAGGCUGAGUGAGGCAGGAGAAUCACUUGAACCCAGCACUUUGGGAGGGCAGGUGGAUCACUUGAAGCCAGGAGUUCAAGACCAGCCUGGCCGACAUGGUGAAACCCCGUCUCUACUAAAAAUACAAAAAUUAGCUAGGUGUGGUGGCGGGCACCUAUAAUCCCAGCUACUUGGGAGGCUGAGGCAGGAGAAUCCCUUGAACCCGGGAGGCGGAGGUUGCAGCGAGCCGAGAUCGCGUCAUUGCACUCCAGCCUGGGCAACAAGAGUGAGACUCUGUCUCAAAAAAAAAAAAAAAGAAAAGAAAAAAAGAAUGCCUAACCUCCUGGGAAUGCAGCCCAGUAGGUCUCAGCCCCUAUUCAACAUGGAGUCACUCUGGUUUGAGCGCCUGUCACAAUGGCAACCCUUUGUCAACCUUCUACACCACCCCCUAACUCACACAGGUCAACAUAAACACCAUUAGCCAGCGGAAAAGACAGUUCUUUUAAGAUGAAACCCGAGAGCUGAUAAGCCUGGAGGUAGUGGUGCCUCCAGGUAAAACUGUGAAGGAGGAUGCCACCAUCUUGUUCACACAGUAGUUCACCCACCUGCCCCCUUCUUUCCUAUUCUCUCUUCAUGGACACAGCUCUGCCCGUAGCUUGCCACGUUUGUUUUUCAAAAGCGUGUGUGUAUAAGGGGUUUGGUUAACUGAGGACACCUGAAUACGACGAUAAACAGAAUUCUGUCCUAUUCUCCCCCACCCCCAGCCCCCAUUCAUAGGUUGGAGAUUAUAGGGGAGAAAAAAUUUUCUCUACCCUCAUGUUCAGCAUCUCUGGGCCUACAAAUUAAACUGACAGAAAACAUUAACAGGAGAAAAAAGGUAUAUAUGUGUGUAUAUAUAUAUAUAUAUAUGCUCACAAAGGAGUAGCUGGUUCUUUAAAUGGUUAAAGUUAGAGGCUUAUACAUCUAACUUAGUAGGGGAAAGGGAGGGAGAGCAAAAGCUUUUAUGUGAGGAACAAAUAGGUUUCUUUAGGAAAGACAAAUGGGUUUUUAGGAGAGCAAAUGAGAGAUAAAGUUUGUGAUAAUGUUUGUUUAUACAGGUAUGAGUGAUCUUUCCGUCUCCUUCAGGACCGUAAAACCCCUGGAGAAGGGAUUGGGGGUGGCUUUUAUUCGUGUUCUCCCUUCUGGGAGUAGAUAUGAUCUGAAGUGGGGAUUUACAGCAGCCUUAUUUCCUAGAAGUUGCUGUUUUUAGUUCGAUAAGGGAAGUUCUGAGAAGGCUUCUUUCUGCAUCUGUGGAUUCUCAGUCGCCAUACCCCAAUGUGGCAUAUUAUGGGGAAGCAUCUUCUGAUCUCCUUCAAUCUCUAACCCCCACUGUGAUUGUAUUUGGAGCCGGGGCCUAUAAGGAGGUACUUAAGGUUAAAUGAGGUCAGAAGGGUGGGGCUGUAAUCUAAUCGGAGUUGUAUCUUUUUUUUUUUUUUUCUGAGACGGAGUCUUGCUCUGUCCCCAGGCUGGAGUGCAGUGGCGCGAUCUCAGCUCACUGCAACCUCCACCUCCCGGGUUCAAGCGAUUCUUCUGCCUCAGCCUCCCCAGUAGCUGGGAUUACAGGCGCCCGCCACCACGCCCGGCUAACUUUUGUAUUUUUUGUAGAGACGCGGUUUCACCAUGUUGGUCUGGAACUCCUGACCUCAAGUGAUCCGCCCACUUUGGCCUCCCAAAGGGCUGGGAUUACAGGUGUGCGCCACUGCUCCCGGCCCACAUUACAAAAAGGCCAACCCUGGUGAGGUACCACAAUUUCUGUCCUGAGUCAAAAAAGGUAAGAGAAUUUUGCAAAUUACCUAUGUGCGCUAAAAGAUAAGAAUUGCAUCACGUGAAGUCUUACCAUCUGCUGGCCUUUCUGCUAGAAACCACCUCGACAUUGUUCAGGGUAGAGUGUUACCUGCCAGUGAGUCUGAAUCUGGGACUCUACCCUUGGAACCUCCUGUUCUCCCUUCCAGUGGGCCCUGAUAGAGGAGUGGGGCUCCAGGGACCCUAAUCAGAUGCAUGCGAUCAUCUGGAAAUGUUUAAAGUCCUAAGGACAGAUAGAAGCCAUAUUGCUGAUUGGUUCCUUAUUUUGAGUUGAGCCUGCUUCAUUGUUUAAGCACUCUCAUUUGUUGGGAUUUUCUCUUCAGCAUUGUAAAAAAGCAAACUUACUCUGCCAUACGAGAACAGGACCUUCUAAACUGGGCUUUGAAGUUUGCAGCUUUGUAACGAGUCAGCCAUCUGAAAGCCUCUGCUUUCCAGCCGGCUCCAACCAACCCUCAGCUACUGAUUAGCAUAUCAAAGAGUGGGCGUGUCCUGAUGGGCUCCGGCAGUGGCACUGGCUCACUGGUUUGGUGGCCCAUGUUUCGGACGGGAGGAGAUCUAGUGCCUUUCGGCCGUGUGCCCUGAUGCCGGGUGGUUACCAUUUCACCUUUCAUUCCAUUUCUUCUCCUCUUCCAACUGUGUGCUUAAAAACACAUACCACACACAUACAUACAAAACCCAGCCCUCGUUCUGAAUGAUAGAAAGGAAUCAGAAAUGAGGAACAAGGAAAGGAAAUGAAAGGGAGGCUUUUAAAGGGGGAUAAAGCCCUAUCUUCCUCUCUCAUCCCUCUCUAAAAUCCAAACAACUCCCACAGAUAAAUACACUAAGUAUUCAAAAGUGUCUUCGUUUUGACUAAUUGAAUUGCCGGGUUAGAAAAGAAUCUUCAAAAAGGUUGGUGGAAGAAAUUUAGAGUAAAUUUUACCAUUGCCCUGGGGUGCUGAUCCCAAAUAAUCGCAACCCUUAAUAGCCAAGCUGAGCUGGAGACUGCCUGAUUAUUUUUAUCCUAACAAGAGACUCUGGCACUGCCAAGGAAAUUGUCUCUCUGGGAGAGGAUUGCUUCUGUGACUUGACCAGCAGCAGUAACAAGUUUUGGGGGCCCCCAGACGGGUGUGUAGAAACAGGUGACCAUGAAUACAGAUGGGGGGAAAGGAGACAAAAUGGACAGAAACCGAAGACUCCCAAGAUAACACGUCAUGGAAAUAAACAAAAGUCUACAGAAAUUAAAUGAGGGAUAAAAGACACAGACUCCUCUAAUAAACUGAUUUUGAAAGAAAAUCAUUUGAAUUCUUUUCAUGUUAAAAGUAUAAACAAGGUAGACUCAUAUUCUUGAAAACUGAAUUAUAUGACUUUUAUUUUUAAAUCCCUCAUAUAUGUAAGGGAGAGGAUAGCAAUACAUUAAUUUCUCCUCAAAGUUCCAGUUUUUUAUUGAGUUAAAAAAAAUCAGAAAGGAAUUUCAUCAACAGUUAGAUUUUUUUCCCUCUGUUUUUCUUUUUAGAGAUGGAGCCUUGCUGUGUUGCCCAGGCUGGACUCAAACUUCUGGGCUUAAGCAACCCUCCUGCCUCAGCCUCCAGAGUAUCUGGGACUACAGGCUGGAGUCACCAUGCCCAGCUUAAUUAAUCAACAUAAUAUAAAUAUUUGGGUAGAUUAUGGAUCAUUUUAUCUUGUUUUUUAUACUUUUUUGGGUGUUUUUCAAAAUUUUUUUUUACAAUAGGGAUGUAUCCAUUUUAUAUAAAAAAAGUAGCAUGCUAUUAGUAAAGAUCAUGGAUUACAUUUGGAACUGGAUGGGGGGAUGGCUGUCUUCCCGCUGUUAUAUAAAUUAUGGACACCACAGAAUUUAAGGUAGAAAGAACUUUGGAUGAUUAUUUCUCCCUCUCAUUUCAAAGGUGAGAGAACUGAGGAACCACUGAGGACCUUAGUUAAAUCCAGGGUCACAUCUCUAGCUGCCAAAGGAUCAGAGUCUAGUGCUCAGUAGCCACCAGACACACAUGGCUAUGGAGCAUUUGAAACGCACCUGGUCCUAACUGAGAUGUGAUGUAAGUGUAAAAGAUACGUUGCAUUUUGAAGAAUCUUUUGCUCCAUGUAUGAGAAAAUGUAAAAUAACUCAGUAAUUUCCAUAUUGAUUACAUGUUGAAAUGAUAGUAUUUUGAUACGCUGAGCUCAAAUUAACUUAAUCUGUUGCUCUUCAUUCAUUUUAGUGUGGCUACCAGAAUAUUUAAAAUGACAUAUAGGGGCUGGGCAUGGUGGCUCACACCUGUAAUCCCAGCACUUUCGGAGGCUGAGGCAGGAGGAUCACCUGAGGUCAGGAGUUCGAAACAAGCCUGGCCAACAUGGUGAAAACCCAUUUCUACUAAAAAUACAUGGUGGCACAGGUCAGUAUUCCCAGCUACUCGGGAGGCUGAGGCGGGACAAUUGCUUGAACCUGGGAAGCGGAGGUUGCACUGAGCCGAGAUCGCACCAUUGCACUCCAGCCUGGGCAACAAGAGCAAAACUUUGUCUCAAAAACAAAACAAAACGAGAAAACGUACAGGGCUCUCAUUCUAUUAGUUUGGUGCAAAAGUGUUUUUGCACCAUUACUUUUCAAGGCAAAACCAGAAUGACUUUUGCACCAAACUAACAUUUAUUUUGGACAACACUGGUGUAGAAUACAGAUCUGGAUUCUCCGUCCAGUAUUCUCUUCAUAUACUGCUUUGAAAUGUAGAAUGUCAAAAGGUAAGGAAAAAUUUGCUUCCCCUUUUCUAGAAUUAGGUAGUUAACCCAACUCAAAGCAACAAUAUCAUUAUUGAUUUGAUAAUUUCUCAUUUUGUUGAAGAUGUGUAGUUUGUAUCUGCUAUAGCUAAUAGAGAUUUGUUUAUUGCAUAAUCACAUAGAUAUUCAUGUCUAAGGUGUUUCCUUGCAGUUAUUUUUGGAUGUUAGGCAUCAUUACCACUAGUGAUCAAGCAGUUUUCCUUGCCUCCCCCUCAGAAAAACUCAGAACAAUGACAAAAACCAUGGACUCUAAAAUCAAACUUUGAGAAGUGCCAGAAAUUACUUUUUUUUUUUUUUUUAAGAUGGAGUCUCGCUCUGUCGCCCAGGCUGGAGUGCAGUGGUGCGAUCUGGGCUCACUGCCACCUCCGCCUCCCGGGUUCAAGCAAUUCUCCUGUCUCAGCCUCCCGAGUAGCUGGGACUACAGGUGCACGCUGCCACACCUGGCUAAUUUUUUGUAUUUUAGUAGAGACAGGGUUUCAUCAUGUUGCCCAGGCUGGUCUCGAACUCGUGAGUUCAGGCAAUCCGCCCUCCUCGGCCUCCCAAAGUGCUAGGAUCACAGACAUGAGCCACCACGCCCGGCCACCAGAAAUUACUUUUAAACAAUACUGUGUAACUUUCCAUGCAAUUAUGCAAACAUUUCCUAAAGAAAGCAACUCUUCUCUUGCCAGAUCUCUUCCCUUUUCACUCCCAGUCCCCUUACCCCCUUGCCGUUUAGCACAGUGGUAGCAUGUGAGAACUUUUUUCUUUUUCCAAAUCAGUUGACAGUGUGACUGAUUUGGGAAAUAUUAAUAUAGAUGUUCUUUUAAACAUAACUGUAUGCAUUUCAUCCUAUUCUAUAAAUUAUACUUCAGCUAGAAAUUAUUUUAGCAUUUCGGGUUACAUAUCAUUUAGGGAAGGCAGGCAUUUAUAGACACAGCCACAGAGAACAGAUUGCUGGGUCACCCUGCCACCAAGAAGACAUGUCCUGUGUCACAUCCAAAGCUUCAGGCAGCUCAACAUUGUGACUCUUUCUCUGACAAGCACUGUGUGUUAGGUCCAUUGAGGAAGUGUUGGAGAGGGGGACAAAUGAAGAUGACCUUGACCACUGGGGAGCUAAAAUCUGGUUAGAAAACUAGAUUCAUGGCCGGGCGUGGUGGCUCACGGCUGUAAUCCCAGCAGUUUGGGAGGCCAAGGCGGGUGGAUCAUGAGGUCAGGAGUUCGAAACCAGUCUGGCCAACAUAGAGAAACCCUGUCUCUACUAAAAAUACACAAAAAAUUAGCCAGAUGUGGUGGUGUGUGCCUGUAAUCCCAGCUACUCAGGAGGCUGAGGCAGGAGAAUUGGGUGAACCCGGGAGGCGGAGGUUGCAGUGAGCCAAGAUCGUGCCACUGCACUCCAGCCUGGGUGGCAGAAUGAGACUCUGUCUCAAAAAAAGAAAAGAAAACUAGAUUGAAUCCCAAGCCAUGUUGAAAGACUAGUGUAACUCAGCACUGAGUGAUGUGGUUCUAGGUACAAGUGCUUUAGGGAAAGGAAAACUUAGAGUCCUGAUCAGAGGAGUUUGAAGGAUUGUAAGAAUGAGCUUGGACUUGAGGCAGAGUCUGAAAAGAUGGGUCAGGGUUAUUAUUUGAAUGAAAAAGAGAAGCCAGGAGAAGACUCCAGGCAGUAUGGGCAAAGGCAGAGAGGUGGAAACUGACAAAUUACCUGAGCCCCCAAAGGAGGCCAAUGGAAGAAAAGCAUGAAAGCAAGUACCUUGUCUCUCUCUCUCUCUUUUUUUUUUUGAGACAAAGUUUUGCUCUUGUUGCCCAGGCUGGAGUGCAGUGGCGUGAUCUUGGCUCACUGCAACCUCUGCCUCCUGGGUUCAAGCGAUUCUCUUGCCUCAGCCUCUCAAGUAGCUGGGAUUACAGGUGCCCACCACCAUGCCCGACUAAUUUUGUUUUUUGUAUUUUUAGUAGAGACAGGGUUUCGCCAUGUUGGCCAGGCUUGUCUUGAACUCCUGACCUCAGGUGAUCCGACCUCCUUGGCCUCCCAAAGUGCUGGGAUUACAGGUGUGAGCCACUUUGCCCGUCCUGUCUCUCUUAUUUAUUGCCAUACUCCCUGUGCCUAGAACAGUGCCUGGUUCAUCGGAGGUAUCUGCUAUUGGUUUUGUAAAUGCAUGGAUAUACUGCUACCUUUUAACAAGUACAGGAGGCACAUAGAAAGGAUUGUCUCAGGGCUGUUCUUUUUGGAGCAAAGGGAGACCGGGUGUGCUGCUGGAGUCCCAGCGAUCAGCUCUGGGACACUAGGUGACAGAUGCCAAGCACUUCUGGAGUUGGUGGCACACUGUGUCCAGAGUUGUUAGCCUGAGCUUUGAGUUGGUUUGGUGUUUUAGUCUAUUUAUGCUACUAUUCAAAAUACCAAGAUUAGGUAAUUUGUAAACAAUAGAAAUGUAUUUCUUUCAGUUCUAGAGGCUGGGAAGUCCAAGACUGAGGCACCAACACUUGGUGUCUGGUGAGGGCUGGUCUCUGCCUUCAAGGUGGCCCCUUGUUGCUGCAUCCUCCAAAGGAAAUGGAUGCUGUUCCCAUCAGCCCUUUCAGAGAGUUGCUAAUCCCAUUCAUGAAGGCAGAGAGGGAAUAUUCCACACAGUAUUCCAUCGUAUGGAAUCACCUCCUAAAAGCCCCACCUCUUAAUAUUGUGCAUUGCGGAUUUAAGUUUCAACAUAAAUUUUGGAGGGGACACAAACAUUCAAACCAUAGUGGGUGGUGAUCUGGCCUGAUUCAAAGGGUUGAAAAGGGAGGAGAGAGGCAAAGAAAAUGAAUUGAGAUCUUAUCCUCCCUUUCUACCCAUAUCAAUAGGCUUUGGAUGCUAGAAGUCUCUUUAAUGUUUGUGAUAAUUCACAAGCCAUUCAGAAGGAGAAGGAAAAGAAUGUUACACUUACCGAGCAUCUACUGUGUGUCAGGCAUUUGCACUUGAUAUCAUUUAAUUCUCACAGAGAUUAAAUAAGGUAGCCAUUUAAAAAAUUGUAGUAAGAAGCAACAUGAAAUUUACCAUCUUAACCAUUUCUUUUUCUUUUUUUUUCUUUUCUUUUUUUUUUUGAGACAGAGUCUCACUCUGUCACCCAGGCUGGAGUGCAGUGGGACCAUGUUGGCUCACUGCAACCUCCAUCUCCUGGGUUCAAGCAAUUCUCUGGCCUCAGCCUCCUGAGUAGCUGGGAUUACAGGCACCCACUACCACGCCCGGCUAAUUUUUAAAAUAUUUUUAUUAGAGAUGGGGUUUCACCAUGUUGGCCAGGCUGGUCUCAAACUCCUGACCUCAGAUGAGCCACCCACCUUGGCCUCCCAAAGUGCUGGGAUUACAGGCAUGAGCCACCACGCCUGCCUACUCAUCUUAACCAUUUCUAACGGUACAGUUCAGUAGUAUUAAGUAUAUUCACAUUAUUGUGAAAUAGAUCUAUGGAACUUUUUCAUCUUCCCGAAAUGAAACUCUUUUUGUUUUUUUUAACUUGUAUUUUAGGUUCGGGGAUACAUAGGCAGUUUGUUAUGGAGGUAAACUCACGUCAUGGGUGUUUGUUGUACAGAUUAUUCAUCAUCCAGGUACUAGUCCCAAUAGUUUUUUUAAAAUUUUUUUCUGCUCCUCUCCCUCCUCUCACUCACCACCCUCAAGUAGACUCUAGUUUCUGUUGUGCCCUUCUUUGCAUUCAUGAGUUUUCAUCAUUUAGCUCCCACUUAUAAAUGAGAACAUGUGAUAUUUGGUUUUCUGUUCCUGUAUUAGUUUGCUAAGAAUAAUAGCUUCCAACUCUAUCCAUGUUCCUGCAAAAGACAUGAUCUUGUUCUUUUCUAUGGCUGCACUCUUCCAUAGAACAACAACCCAGGCUCCUCCCCCAGUUCCUGACAGCCACCAUUCUACUUUCUCUCUAUAUAAAUUUGACUACCCUAGGGACCUCACGUAAGUGAAAUCAUACAGUAUUUGUCCUCAAAGUUUAUUCAUGUUGUAGCGUGUGACAGGGUUUCCUUCCUUUAUUAAGGCAGAAUAAUAUUUGAUGGUAUGGAUAUAGUGUGUUUUGUUGAUCUAUUCACCACCGAUGGACACUUGGGUUGUUUCCACCUUUUGGCUGUUAGUGCUGCUGUUACGAACAUAAAUGGGUAUGUAAGGACCUCUUCGAGACCCUACUUUCAAUUCUUCUUUUUUUUUUUUUUUUUUUUUUUUUGAUACAGAGUCUCACUCUGUCUCCCAGGCUGGAGUGCAAUGGUGCGAUCUCAGCUCACUGCAACCUCCGCCUCCCGGAUUCAAGUGAUCAUCCUGCCUCAGCCUCCCAAGUAGCUGGGAUUACAGGUGCCCGGCACCACACCUGGCUAAUUUUUGUAUUUUUUAGUAGAAAUGAGGUUUCACCAUGUUGGCCAGGCUGGUCUUGAACUCCUGACCUUGUGAUCUGCCCGCCUUGGCCUCCCAAAGUGCUGGGAUUACAGGUGUGAGCCACCACGCCCGGCCUCAAUUCCUUUUUUUUUUUUUUUUGAGAUGGGGUCUCACUGUGUCGCCCAGGCUGGAGUGCAGUGGCACGAUCUCGGCUCACUACAAGCUCCACCUCCCGGGUUCACACCAUUCUCCUGCCUCAGCUUCCCGAGUAGCUGGGACUACAGGCGCCCACCACCACGCCCGGCUAAUUUUUUUUGUAUUUUUAGUAGAGACAGGGUUUCACCGUGUUAGCCAGAAUGGUCUCGAUCUCCUGACCUCAUGAUCCUCCCGCCCCGGCCUCCCAAAGUGCUGGGAUUACAAGCAUGAGCCACCGUGCCUGGCCAAUUCUUUUGGAUAUAUAACCAGAAGUGGAAUUGGUGGAGUAGGCAGGCAUUUCUAUCUCCACUUUAUGAAUGAAGAAACAGUGGUCCAGGGAACUCCUGUAACAUGCCCACGGUCUGCAGAAGGCUGCAGAGUGAAGGCUCACCCUUGACUCUGGUCUUUGCCCAUUUCCACCCCAUUCUGAGGUCACAGCCUUAGCUGCAUCAUUUAAGGGUACACCUAGGUUUAACUUGGAAAAUUGGGGAUUACAUUUAUGCAUACUUGUGGCAGCAGCUGAUUUUGCAGUUUACAUAAUUGGAAAUGGGAGAAGGUUUAGAAUUCUGUUUUGUCCCAGGCUCAAGUUGCAUUAAGUGGUUGACAACCAUAAAUUGGCUGAAUUCUUUUCUGGACACCAGAUUCCAACAUUGUUCUGCAUGUUGUUUUAGUUUUGUGUUAAUUAAGUGUUAACAGAAGUCUGGGGUGUAUUGUUUUGGAAUUAGCUGACCAAGGACCCAUUUAUAGUUUUUUAACUUUGGGCACGUCAGUAUUCAAAAGCAAUUUUAUUUUUUUUCAAAAGCAAUUUUAACCUGAACUGUUCAACUGUUCUGUUUAACUAUGAAGUUCUAAUUUAUGCCAAUUAUCACAUUGCCAAAUAGUUUUAUAGUCAUAUUAAAAUUUCAAGUGGAAUUUGCUGAGUCUAAUUUUGUAGUGGCUCUGAGAUUAAGAUGUGUGAGGAGAAAAAAGUGAUUUUAUUUGUUUCCUUUCUAACCCUAAUUGUUCUGUACUGUCCCUGGGUUUCUGUUUGGUUUGUGUGGUGUUCAUGGGGGAGGAAGCUGUGUGUGAAAGGAGAAGUCACGAGGAAGAGAAAGGAGGACGGGUAGGGCAGGUAAAAAAGGUCUGUAGAAUGAUCUUAUAUCCGACAGGAUUGUUGAGACCAUUUCAGCCCUUUGUUUUUUCUUUUUUUUUAAAUUAAUUAAUUUUUUUUUAAACACUUUGUCGCCCAGGCUGGAGUGCAGUGGUGCGAUCUUGGCUCACUGCAACGUCUACCUCCUGGGUUCAAGCAAUUCUCCUGCCUCAACCUCCCAAGUAGCUGGGAUUACAGGUGCCCGCCACCACAACCAGCACCCAGCUAGGUUUUUUUUGUUGUUGUUGAGAUGGAGUCUUGCUCUGUUGCCCAGGCUGGAGUGUGGUGGCACGAUCUUGGCUCACUGCAACCUCAACCUCCGCCUCCUGGGUUCAAGUGAUUCUCCUGCAUCAGCCUCCCAAUUUAGCUGGUACGCACCACUAUGCCCAGCUAACUUUUUGUAUUUUUAGUAGAGAUGGGGUUUCACCAUGAUGGCCAAGCUGGUUUCAAACUCCUGACCUCAAGUGAUCCACCCGCCUCAGCCUCCCAAAGUGCUAGGAUUAUAGGCAUAAGCCACUGCGCCCAGACUAAUUUUUGUAUUUUUAUUACAGGCGGGGUUUCACCAUGUUGGCCAGGCUGGUCUAGAACUCCUGAUCUCAAGAGAUCCACCCACCUCGGCCUCCCAAAGUGCUGGGAUUACCUGCAUGAGCCACUGCACCUGGCUUCAGCCCUUUGUUUUAUCCAAGAGAAGGUCAAGAGCAGAUAAAUUGGGUAUGUCAUCCUGCCACGUGGAUGAGCAUGGUGGAAUGCUGCUGGAAUCCCUGAAGGUCCACUAACCCUCAGUCCAGGGGUCUCUGGAUUUCCAUAUAUCUGUUCGCAUCUGCUCAGAAGUCAUGUUAGGGCUCUUACAGGAAAUGAAAGGCGUAUACCAACUGGGUCAUUUGAGGAGAGUUUAUGAAGUUGGGGCAGGACAGGGUGUUGGAAGCCCUAUGGAGAGCGCGGUGUGCCAGGGUAGAUAGCGGUGGGCAGAGUUACCAUUCUGAGGGUGGACAGAGUGAGGAAAGAGAAAGACACUGGAGCCUGGAGAGAGCUAGAUGGCUCUAGAGGGAGGACUGCCUGACAAGAGCCAUGGACCCCAGUUGAGAGGCUCAGCCAGCUCACAAUGACUAAGUAGAACCAACACCCUGAGCUGACUGUCCUCUCUCCCUCUAUCACCUGCUGGAGCUCCCUAUUUGCCAAACCCAAUCAGAAGCCAGGGACAAGAGAGCUGUUUGAUGUCAUCCUUACAGAUCAGCCUUUUGUGUAGAGAAGGGUGAUCUAGAAGGAUGAAAGGGAUGCCCAGCACAAAGGUUUAGAAAUGCAGUUCAGGCUGGGCAUGGUGACUUGCACCUGUAAUCCCAGCACCUUGGGAGGCUGAGGUGGGCAGAUUACUUGAGGUCAGGAGUUCAAGACCAUCCUGGCCAACAUGGUGAAACCCUGUCCCUACUAAAAAUGCAAAAAUUAGCUGGGUGUGGUGGCAGGCAUCUGUAAUCCCAGCUACUUGGAGGCGGAGGUUCAGGAGGAUCCUUUGAACCCAGGAGGCAGAGGUUGCAGUGAGCCAAGAUAGUGCCACCGCACUCCAGCCUGGGUGACAGAGCAAGACCCCAUCUCAAAAAAAAAAAAGACAAUUCAAACCUCCUAAACAAAAAAAUUUAGCUGUGUAGCCUUCCAUGGUUCCCCAGGCCCUGACUGAGUUUCCGUGGUAUUUGCUUAGCAAUUACUUUGUUUUUGUAGGAGCAGGCCCCUGAAUUUUGAUCUUUCUGCACUCAGCUCUGAACUGGUCAUUGUCUCUUUCAGUGAUUUCAUGAUCUGGUUGACUCUGGUGAUUAGGUGGUGGCCUAUGUCAAUUAUCACUGCGUAUGUCUGGGCAGACAGAAUAGCCCAUAUUGCAAUCUGGCCAUUUUCCCCAUGCAAUUAUAGGCCUUAAUUUUAAUGAAACUGUUUGGGGUUUAUUCUAAUCAGCAAAAUGAAAUGUGGUGGUUACUGUAGAAUUUCCUUUUGGUUGGGCAGUGAAACCAUACAUGAUCCUUUGGCUGCCCUUGGCUUUCAUCUGAAGUCAUGGGAGAAUGUGGUUUCACAUGGAAAACUGUGCCUCCCUGGUAUUCUGCUAUGAAUGGAAUAUAGCUCUUACACGCAUGACCAUUAUUUAAUCGCAGGUGCAGAAUAUCUUGAGCAUAUCACAGCUGACUUAUGUCUUCCUUUCCCCAUCAGUCACAAAAUCCAGGAAAUUGAGAGUUAUCCUGUUGUGAAGAAGGCCUGGAUUGGCAACAUGGCUUCAUCCAUAGAGACAUGCAUAUCCUUGGAGGGGGAUACAGGGACUUAGUUUUGUGGUCUGAGAACAUUCUUGGCCUGCUGAUAAGUCAUUUCUGAAAUUUGUUGUGCAAGAGGAGUGGACUUUUAGUAUCGAAUAAUAGUCUUUACAUCAAUUUCAUGAACUUACGUAGUAGGUAAAUUAUAUGCUUAGUCAGUAAUCCAUAGACCCAGUACAUUGGAUUUUAAGACAGUCUACCUUACUUUACCUUCAACCACUUCUGUGAUUUUAUAGCAUUGUAUUGGGGCUAAAUGGAAGUGAAUGGACAAAUGCUGUGAAUUUCUUUCUUAAGAUUGCCUGGGUUGAAUCCAGGCUCUCCACUGGCUAUUGGACCUCAGACAAGCUACUCAAUUCUCAAUUCUCUUAUAUGUAAGUCUCAACACUCUCUCUUUUUUGAGACAGGGUCUCACUCUGUUGCCCAGGCUGGAAUGCAGAGGCACCAUCACAGCUCACUGUACCCUCAAACUCCUGGGCUCAAACAACCCUCCUGUCUCAGCCUCCUGAGUAGUUGAGACAACAGGCAGGCAUCACCACACUUGGCUAAUCUUUUUUUGAUUUUUUUUUUUUUUUAGUAGAGACGAGGUCUUGCUAUGUUGCCCAGGCUGGUCUCAAACGCCUGGCCUCAAGUUAUCCUCCCACCAUGGCCUCCCAGAGUAUUGGGAUUACAGGCAUAAGCCACCAUGCCUGGCCUCAAUAUUCUUACAUGUAAGAUGAAGGGAAGGUGUCUCGGUUAUAAUUAGGUUAAACAACAUAGAACAAAACAUCCCAAAGAAUAGUGGCUUAGUCACAUAAGUUAAUUUUUUUCUUGUAUGAAAUAAUUCUGGUGGUAGACAGCCAGGGGCUGGGUUGGCAGCUCCUUGAUUGUACCAGAGGCCCAGGUUUCUUUUAUCUUCAUCCUCUGCUACCUUUAGUUUGUAAUCUUCAUCCACAAAUUACAAGAUGACAGUUGGAGCUCAAACCAUCUCAUCCAUACUCCAGGCAGCAGAAAAAUUGGAAUGGACAAAGAGGGCAUGCAUGCCAUCAAUCUGUCUCUCUUCUCUUCUGGAGGUGUCACUCAACAACUUCUGUUUCCAUCCUGUUGGCCACUGCUAAUCACCAGGUGAACUGGUCAAUUAGUGCUUUAGGGCUGGGCCCAGUGGCUCACGCCUGUAAUCCCAGCACUUUGGGAGGCCGAGGCAGGUGGAUCACCUGAGGUCAGGAGUUCGAGACCAGCCUGACCAACAUGAUGAAACCCCAUCUCUACUAAAAAUACAAAAAUUAGCCAGGUGUGGUGGUGUGUACCUGGGAUGUAUCCCAGCUACUCGGGAGGCUGAGGCAGGAGAAUUGCUUGAGCCGGGGAGGCAGAGGUUGCAGUGAGCUGAGAUUGCACCAUUGCACUCCAGCCUGGGCAACAAGAGCGAAAUUCCAUCUCAAAAUAAACAAAUAGAUAAAAGAUAAAUAAAUAAAUUAGUGCUUCAGUUAGGAGCCUUGAAGUUUCACAUAAAAUAGGGACUCUCUUCUAAGGAAUAAGGAAAGAAUGGAUCUCUGGCAGACAACUUUUGGAUUCUGCACAGGGGAUGGAGACAGACUUUUGUGAGGUUGAGAUGAUAAAUUCCCAUCAAAGUGUCUAGCAAAAUGGCUGGCACUAGGAAAGCACUCAUCGCACACAAUACAUAAUUAUUAUCUAUUUAUAAAGCAACGAGACUUUCAAAAACAUAGCCAAAUUAAACAGAACAACAUUUAUAUGGUUUUACCUUCAAAAGUAAUCACCUUGAAAGGCAACAACAUAUCAUUUCCUUUGCACUUGAUCUUAGUCAAAAGGCCGAGAAGCAAUAUAUCAUUUCCUUUAAUUUAACAUGACUACCUUGAGAACCAGUUUAUUAUUUACAUAAGAACAUCAGCUUUGUUGGUUUGUUUCCACUAUUAGCUUCAUCAUCUGUUGUAUUCAAUAAAAUUAACCUUGAAUGACACUCAAGGAUGAUGAGACUUGACCCUUGGGAAUAUGUUUAAAAAUGUUCACAGUUCUUAGGGAAUUCUGGUUCAGUUAUCUCCUAUUUCUAGAAGUCAGACUUCCAUACUUUCCAUGCUAAUGGGAGAUAUUUGCAUAAACAUAACAGAGGAAAGUAUAUGUAAAACAUGUAUGUAGCCAGGCACAGUGGCUCAGACCUGUAGUCCCGGCACUCUGGGAGGCUGAGGCAGGAGGAUCACUUGAGCGCAGGAAUUCGAGACCAGCUGGGCAACAUAGUGAGAAUUCAUCUUUACAAAAAAAAAAAUAAUAAUUAGCCAGGCUUGGUGGUGCACACCUGUGAUCCCAGCUACUUGGGAAGCUGAAGUGGGAGGAUCGCUUGAGCAUAGCGGGUUGAGGCUGCAGUGAGCUAUGAUCUCACUGCUACACUCCAGCCUGGGCGACAGGGCAAGACUCUAUGUUGAAAAAAAAAAAAGUGUAAAAAAAACAGUUUGCCCUAGCCAUGAAGAUUAGUACAUUUGAAAGUACUUACUAUCCUUAUUAACCUUUGUUCAGAUAUUCAUGGUAAUAUAGGCUUACAGAUGAGAUUGAAUAGUGAUUCACUAGAAUUAUACAGAUACAGGUUGAGCAUCUCUAAUCUGAAAAUCCAAAAUCUGAAAUGCUCCAAAAUCUAAAACUUUUGUGCGCCAACAUGAUGCCACAUGUGGAAAAUUCCACAUAUUAAUUGCUUAAUGUAAAUUUUGUUUUAUGCACAAAAUUAUUAAAAAUAUUGUAUUAAAUUACCUUCAGGCUGUGUGUAUAAGGUGUAUAUGAAACAUAAAUAAAUUUUGUGUUUAGACUUG
rnacentral:lncRNA from 1 species